UUAGAUAGGGGCAAAAAAGACACCCCCAGUAUCUUUCAACAGCACACUGUUUUUCCAGCAGGACUCCUGGGCUGGAAACACUAGGGAGGUAGAAGUGAGGCCUUUUCUAGUUUAGAAUUCUGGAGGGAUCUACAGAGAAUCAUCAGUAAUGCUGAUGCUGUGUUGUCUCCAUGACAACAGUGGAUUUAUUCAGUUAGGGAAAACAGGUGGGAUAGGAAGCAGGAGAUGAGAAGGAUUGAGAAAAAAGGAGCUAAGAAAUAAUUCAAAUAGAUCUCCUAUCUUGGAGCUAGAUGCCUGAGAUUAGCAAUGUCCUAGUUCCUUAUAGAACAUCCACUCAUAACCAAGGAGGGGAAAGGUAUAUUGGGAGCGGCAGAGUAACAAGGCAGUGACAUACCUUUACCUGGCUAUUCCUAUCUUUGCAAUCCAUACUGGAUCCUUGUGUAGAACAGGCUCUAGUAAGGCUCCUGGCCAUGGGGUCCAAGUCCAGCCUUAUCACAUUGAGUUCAGCUUUAUCUGUGUUAUACUAUAGCUUAAUAGGCCCUGGGCUCUGGCUUUGCCCUCUAUUCAUGGUUCUUGACUAAUAGUGACUGGGAAAGUAUGAAAAGUAUGCCACAAAGCUAAGUUUGACCCUAAGUCCCCUUUACAGGAGAAAAAUGCUCAUGGUCUUUGGUAUAGGAAGGUAAGAUUAGGGGAGAGACAUGUCAAGGGAAGAUUCCAAGAGGAGGCUAGCCAGGGACCCAGAGUAAGAAUGUCUUUGAAGGUGCCUAACAAAAGGGCAGACUUUGGUAUCCAAGAUGAAAACUGAGAAUGGGAAUCUUUUUAAAAAGGGGAAAAUUUUUAUCAAUGCCCCUGAAAUCAGCUACUUUUAACAAAAGUCAAAGGUCCUGGUCUGAUUUCACAAUGGUACAGAAGUAGAAACUCUUAAUGGACACCAUAUUCAACUUUCCAAUUUUGGUCUUAGCAACACUGGUGAUAUACAGAAAGUGUCUCAUAGAGAGUGUUUGGUAGGGGAGCAAGAUGAAGUUCCCAGUUGGAUGUCAAUGAGUGUAGACAACUGGUAUUUCACAGUGGAUUAUGUUAUUAGUGGUUUUAAAUAAGUAUAUACGUAUACAUAAAUAUACACUAAAUGUAAAUAUAAAGGCACACACCUUUUAUCUCAGCACUCAGGAUGUAGUGACGAAGCAGAUAGUACUGAGUUCAAGGCCAGUCUGGUCUAUAGAGCAAGUUCUAGGACAGUCAGAGACACACAGAAAUCCUGUCUCAGACCCCUCCACUGCUAGAAUCCUUAUUCAAACUCAAAAACAGCACACCUAUGUGUCCAUGAGCUAUUUAACACCUCAUUUCAAGAUGCUCCAUGUGAGAUUUGUUUUGCCCCAGUGUAAGUUUAUGUGGGUGUCCUGAGCACAUUUAAGGAAGAUUUAUUUAGGACCUUCUCUUCCUCCUAUGCUUGUCUAUCUCUUCCUUUUCUCCUUCCUUCCUCUCUUUCUCUUCCUUCCUUCCUUCAUUUCUUUUGAUGAGAGAACAGGAUCUCUCUACAUAGCCCAGACCAAUCUUGAAUCUGUGGAUAAUCUUUCUGCCUCAGUGCUGGAAUUACAGGUAGAGCCAUCAUGCCCAGGACUGCAUGCAGUUUUGAUCUGAUGCAUCUAUGAACUCACAAGUCCAGGAUUAUCUGUGUGCAUGGGGCUCUGCUUCCUUUGUCUUCCUCUGAGGCAUUCCCUAUGGUCUCCUUUAGCUCUUCACAUGCCGGAAUUCUGUAUAUGCACACCUGCUGAGAAGUGGGUCACAUCUAUCCAACAGUUCAGAUUUUAUUUUAAGUUCCUCAAGUAUAUUCUCUCUGCUAAGGUCACCCAUGUCUGGUGGAAAUCUCGAAUGUUCCUAGGAUCCAUGAGGUGACAAUGUUUCAAUAGCAGAAGCCCAUGCUGUCAUGGAAGGGACAGAACUGUCGCAAAAGAGUCUCGGUCAGCCUCAUCAUAUGCUCAGCUGUGGAAGAGAGCUGGAUGUGCAGAGAGUCAGGAGUGAACUGUGGAUUUGGAAGCAAGAAGCAUCCAUGGAAUAAGCUGGUCUUAAUAAGGAGUUCGACAUGGAGUUUUCUGAACAUGGAAACACUAAAGGCCGCAGUGAGCAUGAGAUAUGAGGUAUGUUCUGGGGAGAGGAGGAUGCAAAAAGGAUGCCCCUCAUUUAGACUUCUUUUCUUGUUGGUUCCUUAGCAGUGGAUAGUUCUAAUAAUAAUCAAAAAAAAUGAAUAAUCCCAGGAUUGUUCAAAGAAGAGGAGUCAAGAAGGGGAGUAUUCCAAAAGCCUGCAUGCUGGGAUGAAAGUGUCUAACCCUGCAGAGGUGACCAGGAGCUCUGGAUCCUCUAUGAGUACGGCUGAAAUCCAGUGGGUCCCUUAGCACUGAGUUGCCCAUUUUCCUCUCAACAGCAACCCUCCAUGAGCCAAUGGGGUAUCAAUACAUAGUGAGAACUUCUGACAUACUCAUGGGUAUACCCCACAUAUUCCAGCUGGUAUACAAACAUAUAUCCCUACCACAUAUUCAUGAUAUACAUCCAUAUACUCUCCUGGCACACAUCCACACUGGCUUACCGCACCCACAUUCAUGUCACACACGCUCAGCACCUACUGGUGUGGUGACUAAUUGUUCCACCCUGUCAUGAAGGCACACAACUUGAGAAGAAAAGAGCCAUCAGGAGCUGUCUCCUUCAGCUUGUCCUGAAGAACUGACCAAUUGCACUGACCAAGAUUAAACAGAAGAGUUUAAAAUGAUAAACAGACUUUUAAAGCAGGCUUAGAGUCUUAAUGAAAACCACAAUGAGUAGAAGAACCACAGGAUAUAUUCCAUAAACUCCCAUUAAUAUCAGACUAAAAGAUCAUUUCCUAGGUACUGCAAUUUGGAACCCUGUCAAAUUACUUGAGAAUAAAUAAUGCAACCUAGCCCAAUGCUUCUGGUCAACAGAACUUCAGAGGAUGUGCACUGAGGUUCAGCAAGCAGGUUUGACUUAUUCUUGCCCUGAAGAAGUGGGUCAUGUGAGUUUGCUCAUUAAGUCUCCGUGUAUUCUAAAUUCUGUAUAUCUGUUCAGCAGACUAUUCCCCUAAGAGGUUGUUGUGAGGAUUGCAUCAAGUUUUAGAUAGCUAUGAUAAUAACACUAAUGACAUUGUUAUGGGUCCUUUAAAUUUUAUCAUCUUCUCUCUCCUCCUCAGCUUUCUGGGAUCAUAGCAAGCCCCUGGCUUGUACAAAUGGGGGUGUGAUUGGCUGGAAACAAGGAAGAAAGGAGAUGGGACAGAGAAGGAAUAGGAGAGCAAGGAGAGAGAAAGAAAAUCAGGACAGCAGAUCCCACAGAGGUCUCACACAACAGCCCAACCACAGUGUAGAUGUAUCCUCUAGGCAAAAGGUACUAGAAGGAGAGGCUACUGAGUAGCCAGAUAGUCACAGUACAGCGUCCUUAGAACUUCUAAGGAUUUUUAUUGAUAUAAAAUUCACAUAUCCCCAAAUUUAUCCACUUGAGAGAAUAUGAUCCAAAAGUGCUGAGUACAUUCAUGGUAUUGUGAAUAAAAUAAAGCCACAUUUAAUUUUAGAAUACUUCCCCAAAAGAUAGCUCAUGUCCAUGAAUAAUCACUUCAAUUUCCUAUGUCUCUAGCUUCUCCACUCCAGGAAACCCACUGGUUGAUUUUCUGUCUGUUUAUUCUAUGCACUUCCUAUUUGUUGAACCAUACUACAUGUGACUGCUUCUUUGACUUAGCACAAUAUUUUGGAUGAAACUAGAAUUUCAUCCACAUUCUAGUAAAUAUUAGUGACUUCUUACUUAACUCAAAGCUAAGAAACUACAGGAAAAGAGGCCAACACACACAUAUGAGUAAGUUUCAUUAUGCAAGAGACCGGACUGUUCACCCUAGAAACCUCAUUGUAUCAAGGUUAGUCAUUAAAUGGACAACUUAGGGAUUCUGGAGCUGGGGUCUACCAUUUUUACCACAGGGGAAACCAAACCACUGUGAAAUGAUUUUGUGUUGAGUGUGGAAUGUUUAUAGCCUAUGCAUACUUUUCACAAAGAAAGAGCACUGUGAGCUGUAAUGUGAGACUGCAUGGUGUGGCUUAUGAUUUAGGUUUAAUGUUGAGAGACAAAUAAAAUUCUCUUGGUAUUCUGUCCAUAUGUCUCUCUCUUAGCUCUUAAAACUGACAAUUCCCAGCUCAAAUUUUACAGCAUAAAGGCUGAUUCUCCUCUAAUGGUUAUCUGUCAUUGCUUAUGUUUAAAGUAAUUUCACGUGCUAAAUCUGUAGUUUCAGAAUGUAAGGGGCAAAAACCAAUAGCCCUUGACCAGGGUUAGAAGGAGGCCUUAGAAACUGGUUGGAAAGGACCAGGAGGAUCAUAGUUGUUCAAUAAAAGUGGUGGUAUGAACUUAUCCCUUAGAAGCUCUCCUGAGAAUAACAGGAAUGGGAUAUCUAUUCCAUCUAGUUGACAAAGAUGUAAGACAGGAAACAUUUAUAGAUUGUAUGCAUUCUUAUUUCUCCAUGAUGAAGUCUACCAGCACUUCCCCAUGACCACUAGAUGUUAGUCUAGGGCCACAGGUAAAAAGAAACAGAAAAACAUGAAAAACAGAACCAGGGGAUUCUACUGACUAAUAUAUAUGUCUUAGGCAAACCCAGCUAAAGAGAGUUGAGAAUAUGCUUCCUGUACGUGUGAGGCCAUUUUUCUUUCCUUAACUUUCAAUAUUGAUUUAGUUUGCAUUAUGGGGAGAGGAGUGGCUAAUGGCUAGGCCAAGAGAGUGGCACUAGUCAUAGUGGCUUGGAGGCUGUGGCAAGAUGACAGUAGAGAACGAGGAAGAACUCAGGGUAUGGCCUGUGAGCACAUAGUUUGAUGAAUGCUAGUCACUUCUUAUCUGGAGUGUCCAAUGGCUAGUACCUUCAGUCAUCUUAAUGGAUUCCAUGGAGAGUUUCACAACAAAAUUAAUUUUUAGAAGCAAAUUCCUUUCAAAACGUUAAAUAACCAACUAUAUCAAAUGCCCUUUGGGAUAGGGUCUUAUUUUAUGAAAUAAAACAAUACAAUAUCACUGAUCUAAAAAGGUCAGGCAUGAUUAACAAUGCCCCAGGCAUCUCAUUACAUCCAGUGUGUCAUUAUGCUGCCAUCUCAGAGAAAUACCCUCAACCUCCCCCUUCACUGCUAGACUACAGCAACAUAGGUCUACUUCCACUGACUAAUGGAAGCCCCUGUCUAGUCUCCAGGCUGCUCAGAAGGCUGCUAUAAAUGCCUAGGGGCUCUGUUAUACACCCUAGCUAGAAGAGGCAUCAGUCAGAUUUCUGUUGCUACAGAGUUGCUCCUUCUUUGGAAAUUUAGCUCUAGGUGUGUCUUUGGCAAACAAGUAGGUAAUCCCAUAAGGAAAAUUGGAUUCUGGAGAAAGUGGGGGUCCCUACAGUUUCUCCAUUAAUCUAGACAUGCUCCAAUUUGCACUGGGAGCAUAAAUUUACGUGUUGAAUUCCAGAAGUCCCAAGUUGUACAAUAUUAGAUAAAAUAAAAUUAAUUUCUGUAAUCCCCUGUGAUCAUAUUAAAACCCAAUAUUCUCAGUUUGGCACAUGGAAUAGGUUUUCCCACCUGCCUUCUUAUUGAAAUUGUUUUCUCAAAUCCUACUUGAGUCUGGCUAUACAGUUGGCAAUGUAAGAGGUUGGGGCCCCUGGCCUGUCCAGUCCCCUAGUCAUUUAGAUAUUAAAUGGGAAGAAUAGAAGUGUAAUCAAUGUUAGAGAGAAGACCAGAAGACUGUGGUUAUCUCAAGGAGUGGACUGGAAUAGUUUUGAGUUCUGCCUUCUGCCCAGAAGGCAGAAGACAGGGAAGAGGCAGCAGGUAUGUAUCCUUCCCAUAAGAUUAAAGUUUCUGUAUAAUUUUUAGUCUACUUUCUAUUGUUCCUCUUCUGGUGAGGUUGGUAGACAGAACUCAAUGAACUCAGAUGGUCAGCCACUGUGACAGCAAAAGACAUAGAGACUUGAGGCAAGGCACACAAGGAUGAGUGACUUCUGGGUAAGAUGAGUGGAGACCUGGCUACAGCAAAGAAAAGGAGGUAGUUCAGCCUGAUGUCUUGCGGAAUCUUUCAGGUCUCAGAAACAAGUUUCACCUCACUAAGGUGAAGACUUUUUUUUUUUUUUGAGUCCUUCAUGAACUUAGGUGUCCCCUGUGGUUAUAUACGUGGCAUCAGAUAUAGGAUAUGCGGAGUUUAUGUACUUUGGUGAUGUCAGACAGACUUCUGUAUAUAGUCACUUGGAAAUAGUGCCCUGUUGUUUAGGGUAUUCUGCCAGGGCUUGUCCAUGACAGUGGGACACAUUUCAUAAGAGCUACCUUUCCUCCCAUUUGCUGUCUGAUAGGUACCGUGCCCAGGAUACUCUUUAUACCACCCUGUUAGUCCUCAGUCCACUUCUCAAUUGCUUCUAUCAGCAAUUUCCUUGAGAGACCCUUGGGCCUGGGGAUGGCAGAGCCAGAAAUCACAUAGACCUAAUACAAGACUGACUUCUUCUUCGGCUGUCUUCCUCAUCUUCCAGUCUCAAGAAUGAAUUCUGAGAAUGAAGCUCAUGAGAAGAGAGAUGGGCACACCACAUCCCGGGCCCAGGGACAGCUGACCUUUCCAAUUCAGCACCUUUAUAAAUCUUCCCUAAUGAAGUUGUGUGUGGGGGGGAUUAAUGAGUAAAUGAAGAUUAAAUCACUCCCUGCAGAAAACUGAUGCUGACAGCCGUGUCCAAAAAGGAAGCUUAAAAAUCCUGAAGCUGACUAGCACAAAGGGGUUUAAACUCUCUUUUCCAGAUGGGAAGACAAAAGUCUUGCCAACACAGGUGAUAGAGGCCAAGAGAAGACCAAGGCCUGCUGAGUAACGGACUUUCUAGGAAAACAUUCUUGAAGCUGAUUUGGAAUACAAUUUUGUAACACACAUAUGCAUACACACUGUACACACACACACACACACACACACACACACACACACACACACACACACACACACAUUAAUUCCUGCAGCCAGAUCUAUCUAGUUCAUUCUUGGCUUCUUGAGGACCUGUAUGUCAUGUUUUCUUCUUAGUACAUUUGUUAUUUCAUGUCCUUGACACUACUGAUCAUCACCAUCUUCUCCUGGCUGCUCCCUAGCUGCACAUCUAAGUCUGAGUGACUUGGAGAAAGUAAGGCUGCCUCAGGAAGGAAAGAGGCAAAAAAGCAGAAACAGUAGCUGGUCACAUCAGGUCAACUAGGUGUAGAACUAAUGUGACAAUAGAUGUGGAAGGAACACAAAUGAAUGGAGUGGGUAUCCUUAAAUCCUAAUAGAGAAAUUUCAGGGUGCAGGUUGGCAGUAAGUAGAACAAGGCUGCUCAGCGCUUGAGAAAUGCUGGAGCACAUGUCUUGCUGCUUUUGCCUCACUUUGCAUGCUAGGUGAAAUGGUCUGUUGGACAGGAUCAGGCUUUCCUGUACUUGUUCUACACUCACUGGGUUUAGGAGUCUGGUCAUGAUGUUGAGAGGACACAGAACAGCUCACCCACUCUGCAGCCUGGUAAGGAAUAGGAUUCAGGGAGAGAGCACCAAGCUCCUGAGGGAUGGAAAGAUGAGGGUGGGCUGGGCACUCGUGGAGAGACCCAGAUGUAAGAAAUCCAUAUUGAGCAGUAACUCAAAGGUCAGGCUGAUUUUUCUUGGCACCCUAGGAGAUGAAACAGGAAUGUUUUGCUGAUGGCAGGCUCUGACAACUGGCAAAUGAGCUUCUGUGGUUAUCUGUUUUUCUUCCUCAGUCUUGUCGCCUAAGACAGUCUGGAAAAAGAUGCAACUGGCAGAUGACUUCAGGAUAAAAACAGUACAACUUGUUGGGAGCUCGGUGGCAGAGGAGAGGAAGCUAAGAAGUGAACCAGGGAGACAGGCAUGGCUAACCUACAUGCAUUCUAUAGGCUGAGUUCCUGCUGUCUCAAAAAUUCCAUAUGGAUCAGCCAUUUAUUUUAUUUCUCCAUCAAUCAAAAUAGUGACGAUUAUUGUUGACCCCACUUUACGGAAGAGAAAACUGAUGCUUAGAGAGGCCAGGCCAAGCUUUGGGGAAAAGCAGAACUGCAAAGCCCAGAUCUGCAUAAAGGGAUGACUUGUCUACAAGGACCUCUUUGCCAACCUAGGAAGCCUUCUUACAUAACAGCUUUCUUUCUUUGUCCCUUUGGCUCCUAGCCUAUACUAAAUAUUUAUUAAGCACCCAAUAAUUAUGAAACUUUGUCAUCUCCUAGGGAAAGAGAAGCAGCCCAGCCAGACAAAGUCUCACUGACUAUUAACAUCACUGAAAGAAGGGACUAAAAGCCAAAGGGAAAACAUCUUUAUCUUUGUCCCAUUAACUGGCAUUGCCAGAUGACACCUUUGUCAUACAGUAAGGGACAAGGAUGUCUUAGGAGGUAGUGGACCAGCACUGGUAUCUUUCUCUUGAUGAUGUCACUAAGACCCAAGGCCUGUCUAGGAGUUUGAAGGUGGAGGGAAUGGGGGACUUGUACCAGGGAUAACCCUAGUGAUGAUCUUUGUUCUCGGUACAUGGUUGUUUUCUCCUACAUUCUAAGUUGCUACAGCUGGGAAGCUUGAAGCCUGUUAUUUCUGGAUUGGGUCUCUUUUCUCUUGGGAAUGGUGCUCAUUAGAAGGCUGCACACUUAUGUGCCAUGGUGUUUCUGGGGGAUUGAUGCUUCCUAACCUUUCCUCAGUGUAAACAAUCUCAAGUCUGUGGAAAUACUAUUCAAAUAUUUCAAAUAUUCUGAUUUUGCAUUCUUUGAAAAGUUUUUUUUAACUUAACUCCCCUGGGUAAACUCUCCCCUUUUAUAGGUCAAGUAGAGAAUCCCCCCACCCCCUAUCCAGGAAGCCUUCUCUGAUUCAAGUCUGGGAGCAUCCAGAGCUGUUGCGUUUCCAGCCCUGUACACACUUCACUGUCAGCUCUGCUCACUUGUCCCUCUUGUGUGUAUGUGACUGUAUGAAGACAAGCCUAGUGUUACAAGCAUUUGAGCCCCGAGUGGCUGCUGGAUGAGCCUCUUGGUAACUGAGUGGCUGAGACACUGGCCUCAUCUCUGCCCAUGGCUCCUUUUAAUCUUCCUUCUACUGUGUCUACCUAUUCUAGGCUUCUCAACUUUAUACAUUGCCUGCAGGGUGGAAGCUGAACCUGAUCUGUUUCCUAAGCUGCCUCCAGCUGAUGGCAGCUGGUGCUCUUCCUGGUGGCAAUUUUAAAUCCCAACCUGUUUGCAGAGAGGAGUGGGGAGUGGGAUAACAGGUAUGGAAAAGGAAGGUUACCUCACUCAUAGUGGCAAAUGCUCAGGGAAUUGAACCAUGAACCAUCAAGUAGACACCAGGUUCCUAAACUGGGCCUAGAGAAAGAGCAAAGGGCCUGCUAGAAAAAUGCAGUAAAGUUUGGAUCUCAAAAAGUGAGACCCAAGCCUUGAAAGAGAAGUGUCGACCCCCAACUUCUCUCCUGCAAUGGCAUAGAAAAAAAAAAAGCUUCACGAUUGAUACUGCUCCUUGGCUAUGGAGGGAUAGGUUACUGCCCUCACACUAGUACUCACACCCAGGUCAGCUUCCAAGCACAGUGUACCCAGUGCCCUUUGAAAGAAUUCAUUUCACAAAGGGGAAACUAAGGUUGCAAUUAGCCUUGACUCAGUCUCCCAGAUGAUUCAUAAGGCAGAUGCAUCAUCUUCUGCCAUCCUUUACCUACCUUCCCCUGAAAUCCUUAACAUACCUGAGUUUGACCCUAAACAUUUGCAUGUAGACAGCCCUAGAGAGAAUCAUUGCUGGGCAUGAGUGUGUAAGCAGACUCGCAGGCAGUGAAGACAAGCUCAUAUCUUUAUGUGAACCUGCACAGCUGGCCACUUCUGGAUGAGAGGGUGAGAGCUUCCCACCUCUGAAGGGCCUGCAUUAAUGUUCUAGGGGGGGAAUUUCUGAGCCUAUGUCAUUUUGAGUGAGAAGCUUAUGGGGUGAAUUGUCCUGUUCCCAUCUCUGGUCUACACAAUCCUCUUAUGUUCAGCUUGCACACCUACUCUGGAGGAGGCCCAGGACUUCAGACACUACCUCUUCUCUCUUCUCCUCCUCUUCCCUUGCUCAUGAUGAGUGUGCUUCUCAACACCUCUGAACCAUAUCUUCUCAUCACUGUAUCACUGUCCCAGUCAUUGGCAGAUAGAAAUAAGGGUUGUGUUUUUUUUUCUUUUUCUUUUUUUUUUUUUGACAGUUCCUCUGAUGUUGCUCUCUUUUGUGUUGAUCAAAACAAAACAAAUCAGACUUUCAGUGCCUGACAGAAGCCUAAUUGGAAAUCCAAAGUGUCACUAAAUGUUAUGGUAUAAAUCAAAUACAUUCAAUUACCAAAACUGAAUACUGAGAGCACUAGUGUCAGUGUCAGAAAGGGCUGUGAGGAGGAGGCUGAGUCCUGGAGUGUCAUUCCAUCUCUGCCCCGCCAUUAUCUCUAAGGCCUUCCUGAGCCUUAGGGCUCCAGCUGGAACCAGCAGUUGAGUUAAUCCUGGCAUACCUCACUCACUCUUGGGUAGUACUGGAGAGGCUGGGUGAGACUUAGCUGCAACACUUCUUGUAUUCUGUACCUGCCUCCUUUCAAGGGUUUCCUCUGUUGAGGACAGGGUAAACACAUGCACAAGGUGUCAUGAGAUCACUCUGGGAUCUCUGGAUGGCAUUGGUGGUAGUGGGAAGAGCAGGGAGGCAAAGACUUUGCCAUUGCCCAAACUUGCACCUCACUCAUAGCUCUACCCCUAAGAACCCUACAAAUACCUUGUUUAGGUCACUAAGCCUCGAGGGGCCUUAGAUUCCUUUUUGGUCUAAAAUGGGUAAUUGUCUUUUGGUUUGACUUAAGGAGGAGAGAGCAUUCUUGUCAGGAUUCUGAUCUACUAUACAAUACACAGGACAGUGGCACCAACCCCUUGGGCAGAAUUUUCUUUGUCUGUCUGUCUGUCUGUCUGUCUAUCCUUCCCUCCCUCCCUCCCUCCCUCCCUCCCUCCCUCCCUCCCUUCCUUCCUUCCUUCCUUCCUUUCUUUCUUUUUUUCUUUCUGUCCUUCCUUCCUUCCUUUCUUUUUCUAUCUUUUGACGAGGAACAUUUCUUCUAUUGUCCCUUAAAUGAGUGUGGGUUCUGAAACAGCACUGGCAUUCUUUAAUUGGGUUUUUAAACAGAGUACCUCGGGAGGGCCAGGCUAGGAGGGCCAGGCUAGGAGGGCCUGGGUUUCCUGGAGCCUGGAGCCCUUGAUAGAGAAAUUGCAGGAUGGGAGCAGGCACAGCAGGGGGCACUGUUUUCAGAGCUAGAAAUGGAGCUGUGACUGAGGAGGCCUGGUGCAGAGGCUCAAUCCUGCUGUUUGCCAGCUUUGCUGCUGUGGGCAAAUUAGCAAGCCAGACUUAAUUUCAGUUUUCUUAUCUACAGAAAAGGAUGGGAAGAUAAUACUCAUUAGCUGAGGUCAUGUUUGUAAACUAAAAGAAGAAAAACAUUGGAGUGAAUAUUAGAUUUCAACACAUCUUAAAUAAGGCAAAGCUGAGAGGCCAGGCAACCAGUAGAGUUUAUACUAUAGGUGUGGUUAUAAGUUGAGUCUUGCUCUGUAAGACCUGGCCUGGUGAUAGACAUGGGACACAACCAUAAAACCAUAAUUACAAUGCUAACAUGUAUUAAGCAGGCAUGGCCUGCCAGAUACUUCUCUGAGUGCUUUUAAGGCAUAAAUUCAUUGAAUUAAUUCACUGAACACUUAAGCACAGACCACAAGUAUGCCCAUUUACAGAUGAGGUUACUGAAGCAGAGAGGUGAAGCAGCUUGCCCAAGGCCUCAUUUCAGUUAGUCCUGGAGCUGAACUUAAUGGUAACUGCUCAUAGUAGGUGACUGUCAGCCUUUUUAAAGGUUCACUCUUUGUUUUCAAAGCCACUUUGGAGAUCUAGGCCCCCUUUUCUCUGAAACAAAAGGCUUCUCUAGAUAAUCUCUGAGGCUGACUAGCUCUGGAUCCCUGCAUCAAGGCAAAGAGGAGAUCCUUUUUGGAGACUUUAAACCUGAAGGGAUUCAUGAGAGCACUUCCUGGAGGGUUCAAGUUGCCUCAGUCACUGAGCACUCUACCCAUAUUCUUUCUCUGACCUAUAUUCUACUCUUUACUGGCAAAAUUUGAUGGCCCUCCCCAAGCACGACUCCUGUUUUUUAUCUCUACCCAAAUCCCACACUUAAUAGUGCUGUUGUAGUGAAAAGAGCAGGAAGAAAUCAUAAGGAGACUAUCUCCAGGGCAGACCUAUUUAUAAGAUAUUUGCCGGACCAUUCCUUAGAAAGACAGCCUUGUCCAAAUCUGCAUAUGCAAAUGACUUACCAGUGGACAAAGCUAUGCAUUAUACAUGGUAGACACUUAAUGGUCUGCUGAAUGAAAGAGGCUAUAUAUGCAAAUGAUAUGCAAAUCUCUCCCAGUUUAAUUUGACUCUUGGGAACAUCUUCAGUGACUCUCUGGGGCCUAGGUUGUUUUAAAUUUUUUAAAUUAAAACUUUGUACACACAACCACUGCUUCCUUUUGGCUGUGCUGAGUGCAGCCACAGUCGAAUGCUGGGCUGAGCCAUAUUAGCCAGCAUUAGCCCUGGUUCUCCUGAUGACACAGUUAUAGUCAGGGCAAGGGAGUCUCUCUCUGAGCAUCUGGAAUUCAGAUCCAGUAAUUUCCCUCACCCUAUCCUUGGAGCAUCACUAUGGGCAGUCAGGGUGUCAGUCACCAGCAGUUGCUAGAAAGAGAAAUCAAACGCCCUGCCGAAGUUCAGAGGAGACUCCCCAGACCCCUGCUCAUUUGGAGCAAUGAGGGUUUUUGGCACUAGUCUAUCCAGACUGAACAUUUCGUUUAAUCACUUCUUUCCAAACCAAAGGAUUUUAAAAUAAGAUGCUGGAAUUCUCUCUAAUUCUCUCUAAAAUACAGCAAUCCAAGUGUCUGAUUAAUAGCGAAGGUUAGCAGUUCUUUUCCCUCAGGUGAAAACAUUUAUUUUUAAAAAUGCUCCAAGAGAAUAUUAAUGGCCAGCAAUGAUCUGGGUCAGUCUCUGGGCUCCUUGAUGCUGGCGAUGAGGGAACUUAAAACCUGAGGGGCGGGCGCGGGGUGGGGGAGGGGCAGGCCAGGGCUGGCUCCUUGCACUGUGCUCCUGGAGGCAGGAUUCUGCCCUUUCUUUGGGAAAGACACUGAUCUGAGUGAGACUCAGCUCCUGGCUCCUGGGGCCACAUGGGGUUCCAUGUCCUUAACCAGAAACACAUGUGCACCAGAGGCUUGGAUUGAAAGUGACACAUUCUGACCCUGGGUGCAGCAGCAACUCUCUUAUCCUCACUUUCCUAAUCCUCAAACUCCAUAAUUCAUCAAGUCCCUGAGGCUCAACUCUCUGCCCACCUCCAACUCCGCCUUCAUGUUUCCCCUGAGCCAAGGCCAGAAAAGUGUGUGUGAGGGGGAGUGGGGAGGUGGGGACGCCUGUGACAGAUUCCAUUUGCUUUGUAAAAACAUACUUAGCUAUGUUCUGUCCACACUGGGGACAUCUUCUCCCCUGGACUAAACAAAUACCCACAAUCAAAAUUUAACAGCCUGAGGUGUCAGAAUGUAAGGGCCAAGGAAUCUGGAAGUUGUAGUUCUUCACACUUUUUGUUUUCCCUACAAGGUUCUUGGCUACAGGUAGUAGACUUAUUAUUCCAGGCAUGAACGUAGCCCUUUUAGAAAUGGUUCUAUUUUUGGUCCUAGAUCCUACUUAGUAAUUAUUCAAAGGGACUCCUCCAAACUAGUGAACACAAAAUUUGUUCUCUUGUAAAGCUGGCUGGGUAUUGCAACUUCAUCAGGCAGGAGACUGGCCUGACCUCCAGGUUCUUCCCAAACAGGGAAAAUGUGUGUGUGUGUGUGUGUGUGUGUGUGUGUGUGUGUGUGUGUGUGUGUGUGAGAGAGAGAGAGAGAGAGAGAGAGAGAGAGAGACAGACAGACAGACAGACAGACAGACACAGACACAGACACAGACACAGAGAGGGGAGUUAGUUCUGUGCUCAUGGGGAACUACUGGGGGAGGGGGCUUCAUAAUCUAUAUGUCUGAGAACUUCAGGCUGAAGUUCAUAUUGUCCUGCCACUUGUAAACUUCCUAAGAAAAAGUGCUAAAUGUGUUAGCAUCCUGCAACUAUGUAGAGUGAGGAAUAUAUCUCUCUGUGUCAUGAGGGAGAGCUAUAUCUGAGAGCUAGGAUAGUUGUCACAGGCAGGUUCAUGCUUUGUCAGGGAAUGUCCCUACACCGUGCCUUCUCCUGACAGAGUCCAUUUCCCAGUGUUCCUUUUAGGGCUAACAACAUUUGUGUGGUCCUUCUUGGGGGACUAAACAACUUCAGCUAAUAAGCAACCUGAUGGAGAAUCACUGGUGUGUCCUCAUGCACUUAUGUUGACUCUGGAUCUAAGUGUUCCAUGUCCGCAAUGCUGGAAAUGCCCAUUGAAUAUUUUUCAUCCUGGAUUACAAUGGGGGCAUUUCUGAGGCUCUGGCAAGCUCUGGUGUUCUGUGGGCUAUGGCCCUGGAAGACAGGGAACCAAGCAGUUGAUUGUUCCCUAGCCUUGUUUCUUAAAUUCUGUCUAUGGACACACAUAAGUUCAUGGGGGUGAUGGCCACUAGAGUGAAGAGGCAGGUAAAAGGCAUGAGGAGGUUUCCAAAGUUAAUCUAAUUUCUGUCUCAUUUGUGGGGGACUCUUAUUCUCAGAGUCCAGAGAUGACAUGCUUAACAUGUUAGAGACUAGGUCAGAGACUGUGCCUGGAUUGCUAGGUUGUAAAAACGCCCAAAGCACAUAGAUUGAUGCCAGUCUGGUCAGAAGUCCAGAGAGUCUUAGCCCCUUGUUUAAGUCUCAUAUAUGUGUGUGGUGGUGGUAGAGGUCUAUGCAUGUGAGUACAGUGCCCAUGGAGGCCAGAAAAAAUAGUGUCAGAUCAUGAACACCUGAAGUUAUAAGUGGUUGUGAGCUGACUGGCAGUCGUGUUAGGAAUGGAACUCAGAUUCUCUGCAAGAGCACUACACACUUCUUGCUGAGAUAACUCUCCAGACCUCCCACCAUCAUUCAUGUAACCCUAUCUGUUUGUGUCAUUUCCCUGAGGCUGUGAAAAAUAGUUGUGUUAUGCUCAAAAAGCUUGAGGCAGUUUGUACCAUAUUGAACAGAACACUGGUAUGUAUACAUAAGGGCACUUGGACUAGGUCUGAGUGUUCACAGGAAGGUUUUUCCUGUUUUUGUUACUGAGCUUGUGGUUUGGUUACAUACCUGAAGAGGCCCCUAGAGGGUCCCUUCCAAACCAGAUAUCCAUACAUGUGGCCUAAGGCGUGGGGAUAGCCUAACUUAGAAUAUCCUCCUUCAUCUCCACAGAUGCCUGCAUUCUGGACUCUUGGCCUCACAUAAGGGCUAGGAGCUGCCUGCCUCUCUGUGUCCUGAGAGAGUGGGACUGUUUAAUCUACUGGGCAUAUUGCAGGAUUUUUUAAAAAAAAUAAAUACCAGAUUAUGAGCACACAGCUCAGUUUGGCCAGGCUAGUAUUCUGACUGGUCCUUUGGGAUAGCAGGUUGUAAUAUCAAGGACAGGUUGCAAGCCAUUCUUGGGAGCAGGGAAUUCCUUGGGCAUAAGUUGUAACAGACGCUUCUGGUUUUUCUCUGAUGUACCAGUAAGUUUUAUUAACAACAUCAUUGAUAAUGAAGCCCAGACUGUGUGCUAGACACACACUAGGCACUUUAUGUCUGUUCUCUUAUCCUGAGAACCGAGCUUUAUUAGAUAUAUUGCACAGGUGAAGCAACUGAGGCUUAGAAGAAAAUUACAUGAAGUUACAUAAUAAGCGGCUAUGCAAUGGUGGGGUCAAUCACACAUACCAGAUCUUAAACCCCAGUUGAUUCAUCCUCUCCCAAUCUUCAAAUGGAGAGUAGAAUCCCAGGCCCCCACCCACUCCAGCCCUCUGUUCUUCCCAAGGCUCUCUCCAGCCUGCAUGGAGCCAUUCUGCACAGUAACUCCCCUUUUCCAUUUCACCCUUCGCUGGAUCAUUUUAUGCCUCUAUUCCCUCUGCUAAUUCAAUCUAAUUAAAGUAUAAAAUAAAAUAAUUGCUUCCAUUCCUACACUCUCUUCCCAUCUACCCUGAGGACAGAGUGGUAUUCCCUUUCUGGGAGUGGCCAGCCUGACAAGCUGGGCUGGAAUCAAGGCUAUGUCUCUUCUUUUCAUCUUCUUACUUGCUGUUUUACUUGGCUCCCGGCCUAACUUUCCCAGCGCUCACAGACUGACUUCCAUUAGACACUGAAGUCUGGGUGCAAGUUGUAUUCAUGCUCAUGACAUCUGCUGACUUACUGCUGAAUUACUUACUGAAGUUGGGGUAGCUUUCGAGGGAAGAGCCAGCCUUCUCUUGAUGGAGAACCUGGGCAAUUAACAGCAGGCCUGGAAUUCUCUUUCCAAGUUCUUCCCCCUGGGACUGGCCAAGCCACAGAUCCAUUAAGAGUACAUUAACAUUGACUUGUUAGGCAGUGGCACUAAUGACCCAACACUUCUUACUAGUACUAUUUCUUAAUUACAUUUAGUUAAUUGACACAGAGAGAGAGAGAGAGAGAGAGAGAGAGAGAGAGAGAGAGAGAGAGAGAGAUAUUUGAGUGCUAGAGUGGAUGGUUCUAGCUUUGUGUAAAGAUAAAUCUCUCUGGGCAGAAUUGGAAAUCUUAUUCUACUCUCACAUGGUCCCAAAGAUAUAAGAGGUACCUUAUCUCUGGGAAAGGGUAGGAGAACAGAAGCAUAGAGGGAAGACAUAAAAAAAUAACACUGCCCAUAGUGUGUUAUAAAGUGAAAUUACAGAAAGGACCCUUCCCAUCGUGUCCUAUGAAGUUUGGACAUGGCUUGAGUAUGCCUCACAAGCCUCACAAGUUAGAAAAUACUAUAGAGCCUUUGACAUACUGGUAUGUAAUUAGAUUACUGAAGGUGCUGUCCUUGGGAGGAUAUUGGUUAGUUCUUACAAAAGGGCUGUUAAGAAAGAGCAAGCCUAGCUCCUCCCCACACCUCUGUGACUUCUGGUCUUAUCAUGUGAUCUCUCCUCCUGAAGCAUAUUCAUGCCAUUGACAAUACCUAUGAUGUUGUGACACAGGUAAGCCCCACUAGGGAUUGGACCAUACUGUUUUGACAUUGGUCCACAAACCUCUUCAAGUUAUAAGUUACCUAGUCUCAGACUGUUUGCUCCAGCAACAGAAAAAAGAUAUACUGCCUUGGUUCAUGAACAUACUCAACGAUUGACAAAUUCCUUCUGUGCGUACAGUGAUCACGACUCAGAAGCUAAUUAUAGGAGCACUUGGGUGCAUCUAUCUUUCCUUUAGAAAGAUCUUACAUUCUAAUGUCAAGCCUACCUAUGCUGCUAUUGAGUACAGUAUUUGUAGGAGAACAUGAAAACUGAUUUAUGUGUCAAAUGUGUUCCAAAAACUGAAAAAGUAAAAUUCAAAUUAUAAUGAAGUUAUGCAGAAAAAUAAUUUAGAAAAUUAUUGGUGUAUGUUUCAAUAAAUACUUUCAGUAUCAGAAGAAACACUUGAUGACAAAUAACCUAAUUAUGGUCAUUACAUCUAUCAGAACAGUGGUUCUCAACCCUCCUAACACUGCCACCCUUUAAUAUAGUCCUUUGUGUUGUGGUGACCCCCCAACCAUAAAAUCAUUUUCAUUGCUACUUUACAACUAUAAUUUUUCUAUUGUUAGGAAUGUAAAUAUCUGUGUUUUUUAAUGGUCUUAUGUGAUUCCCUGAGGAAGGAUUGUUUGAACCUCAAAAGUGUCACAACCAAUAAAUUGAGAAUUAUUGUAUUAAAAUAAAUAACUGGAGAAACCAUACAGAGUUAAGUGAAAGGAGAAAUAACUGAUCAAAAUUCACCAAAUAAUUGACAAAAAUAUCAUUUUUUUCAUUCAUGAUAUAGACACUUUAAAAACCAAACAGAAAACACCAAAGAUCAAUUCUUGGCUUUUUGGCAAAGAUCAAGUGUAGAAAACACCAAAGAAAAAUUACCAGAAUCCCAGGAUUAUUCUUAAGGACUUGACAGUACAAGAAAUGUGCAAGAUAUAUAGGCAAAGAAUAAUACUGAAAAAUAUAGGAAAGUGCAGAUUAAAGAAUCAACAAAAAUGAUUUCAUACUAUUGGUAUAGCAAUAAUAAAAAUACAUUUAUUACCAAUAUUAUUUUUUAAGAGUCCCAUCCUAGGACUUUGCUAAGUCUUGCUAAGAUGUGGGAGGUGCUAGAAUUAGACUACCGUCUCUGUCUUGGAAGCUUGCCUUUCCAAGUCCUUGAGGAUUUAAGGAACCAGGCCCCUAGGAAGCUGUUGCUACAGUCAGGACUAGAAGUUCCACUAUCUGGCUCACGCACCACUAUCUUUAUCCUAAUCACAUACCUCUACAUAUCCAGUAAGGGGAAUAUUGUGAGUGAGGGCUGGAAAAGGCUGUACAGAGUCCUCAUGGUAAGUAUGUGGCCAUUGAUGCUAAACAAGAAGAAAUUCUUCAUUUGUUAUCUCAACUGAUCUCAAACUUUCCUUGAGUGAGAUACAUAGAGAUUAAGUGGCUUGUCCAAGUCAACUCAGCUAUAAAAUUAUGAGAUGGGACUUAGGACAUAGAGUAUCAGAAAUAUCUCAUUAUCUGAUUCAUAUCAUUUAAUUAAUAAAGGAGUAAGCUAAGGCUAUGGGAUCAUGGGAACAAUAAUGGCAAACAUUGGGAGAAAAAACAGGCUGCCUGAUUUUGCUCUUAUUGACCGUACUCCUGGCACACAGUAAAAUGUGUCCUUUAUGAGACCAUGCUAAGUGUCAAUACUCUGCUCCAUGGCCCCAGACAGAUGGGCCUCAUGAGCUGCUUUUGGCCCUCAGCCCUAGAUUACCCCAGCUGAAGUCACCUGGCUACCUCUUCUACAUGAUUUACAGCUUCUUAGGUGACAGGUUUCAGAGCUCCACCACAAAUCUCCCUUAGACUCAAGCUUCUGAUUGCCUCACUCCAUUUGGUAUGGGGAACUCCUACUAAUAUCUCACGUGACCAGAGACAGUCCCGUAACAUUAAACCCAAAGGAUUUCAAUUUCAGCUUCCUAGGGCUGGCUGCUGCUCAAUAUAUCUGGUUCUGACUAUAACGAGAGCAGGGGAUCAAACACAAAAGACAGGAGGAAGGAAGGGAUAUUUAUAAACAAGAUACUUGGGCACUUUAUGUGGCUAGGGCUGAUGCUUUCAGAUACGGACCAAACGCUCCUUGUUUACCCUGAAGCCUACUCAACAGCCUCAUUUCUGACCCAGCCUCUCUUCUCAGCUACUCAUGUAGUGCUAGGAAUGGGACCUAGGGCUUGAACAUGCCAGGCAAGCUCUCUGACAAUGAACUACAUCCUCUUCUGCCUACAUUUUGAAUGCAUUUUCAAAAAGCAUCUUGUCUGAGAAAAGGAUGUGCUACUUUUUGCCUUGCCACCUUUCCAGUCUUCGUUAGUUCUCAUUGGUCACUGUUAUGUACCUUUUUUUUUUAAUACCUUAAUAAGCUCAGGGAACCCAAGAGAAAGUUCCUGCCUGCAGUGAUCUUAUUGGCAUACAGAAUAUCUGAAAAUAUAACCAAAACAUAGACUGUUCAUCCUGUGUGGCUGCCUUUCCACCUGGCUCCAUGGUUGUCACUUCUCUAUCCCUCUCAUCCUCCUGCCUGUGGGUAGUUCUCUAGAAGUAUCUGGGUGUUGGCCAAUGUCACAAGGUGUUAAAUUUUGUGCAGGAGGAUUUCGUGAUUUAUAACUACUCUUAAAAUGUAGUGAUUGGAUUUGUGGUGUAAGCAUCUACCUUUUUUAUUUAAAAAUGACUCUUUGGGGGUUGGGAGAAUGGCUCACUCAGUAAGUCCUUGCCAGGUAAACAUGAGACUGAGCCCCACAGUAUGGUGUGACUUGGAGGUAGACUUACUACUCCUGGACCCACAGAAUUGGCUGUUCAUGGGAGUCAAAGAGGUGUAGAUAUGAGGACCUAAGCUAGAUCUCCAAAAUCCAAAUGAACAAAAGACAGACAGACAGAUAGACAGGCAGACAGACAGACACACACACACACACACACACACUCCUAGUAGUGGGGAUAAGAGAUCAGCUAAACCCUAGGGCUUACUUUCCAGCCAGCCUAGUGUGUUUGUUAAGUUUUAGGAUAGUGAGAGACAUUGUCUUAAGAAACAAAGUGGAUGGCUCCUUCGGAUUGACAUCUGAGGUUGGUCUCUAGCCUCCACACACAUAACAUACUCAUAUACAAAUGCAACCUCAACAAAUACAAAUAAGUUUCUGCCUUGAAAACAAAAAAGGAUAGGAGGAAAAUACAAAGCAUCCAUAGAAUCUAUCCAAAGGUACAGAUCUCUGGGGAUGCUUCCCUCAUUAGACUGUAAUCAAAUUAAGGGUAGCAACCAAGUCUCAUAUGUUCUGAUAUUUUCCCUGUACUUUGUCCUCAGUAAUUAUGUGUCUAGUAAUAUUUUUCCAAGACCCACUGGCUAUCUUAUUGGGCUAGUAGGCCAAUGCUUGUUUUUAGGAUUGCCUUACCCACUCUGGGUUGGCAAAGCUUCCCUCAGUUCCACUAAGUUCUCCACUGGAUCUGUUUAUGCCUCAACUGCAGGGGCCACAUGAAUAAAGACAGAAAAGACAGGUGGGCUCAAGAGGAUCUCGAUGUAAUUUGCAUGCAAUUAGCAUAUGAUUUGUGUCAUCUAUUCUCAAGAAGUAAUUUUCAAGUUAGAGCUGCAUCACUGCUUUCUUUAAUGCCACCAUGCACCCAUCCCCCUUUCCUCAUUCCUGUUCAUCUGUUAUCUGUCAUCCGCUGAUUCAGAUUCCUUACCUUAGAAGAGAGCACACAGAACUCUGGGAAGGGUGAAGCUGACCAAGGACAGAGAGUCUUUGAGGAACAUUUAUGGAAAGAUGAAAGACACAGACACUGGGAGAUGCCUAACAAACAGGUAGGUCUUCCAGCUCAGCUGCCUUCCUUCCCAGUCUCAGUCAGCAUCAUCAGCCCUGAGAUAGCCUCAGAAUCUUUGUCUUUCUUUUUGUCCUCCUCAGGGAAAGGAUAAUACCAUGGCUGCUGCAGAUGUAUGGUUACCUCCUGAUCAAAAGGAUACAAUAGCUAGCCAUGGCUAAGAAGCUUGCUUGGUUUCCUUCCUCUAAGGGUCUGGUUAACUCCAUCGACCCUGUUUACUUCUCUCCCCAUCAUUCCCUAUGUUCACACACAUGUAGAUAAAAUAUGAGCUGAAGAAUAACUCUUCCCUGGGUCUAGGAAGAUGAGGCUUGCUCAACUGCUGUUAAGCAGAAGACUGAGGCUUCUCCUGUGGGAUUUCCAACUUUUGCAAGUAGUUUCAGCUUUCCAGAACUGCCUAGCUCCAUCCUGCCUCCAAUCUUAAACUCAGGACAAGAUCUGAUCUCCUUCCAGGGCCCCAUCUCAGUCCUGUCUCCUAGGAGCCAGCCCAGCCUGGAAGCCUAGAUUAUUUACACCUCUUUGGCUCUCAUGAACAGCCAACUCUGUGGGUCCAGGAGCAGUAAAUCUACCUCCUAAUCACACCAUACUGCGGGGCUCAAUCUAGCUCUUUCUUGCAGGGCUUUUCAUCACUCAUCCAGACAGGGGCUGUGGCCUAGAGAGAAGCCUCCGGGAAGAGGCUGGCCCUGCAGCUUCCCUCUGCAAAUGCCACAGGGCUCUGCCUUCCUCAGAACCCCAGCACAGUGAACUCAGUCUCUGUUUUAGGGUAGAUCAACUUCGAACCAAAGGUGACAGGUUAUCAGAGGUUUCCUAGAGUUAAGAAAGAAGAGACGUAUGCCAGCACUUACCUGUCUCUCAGACAUGACAUAUAGGUACAGCUGAUUGAUGGAGAAGGCCAUGUCCCGGAGGAUGGGGCUCCCAUCUUUGAACACAGAGACCAUCUCAUAUUGGACCCCACCAUGGGGGGGACCAUCAGCUCGAAUCUGCAAAGAAACCAAAUUGACCUUAGUACUUAUACCCAGCCUUCCCAUGGACUCCCUGCUUCUACUUAGAGGUGUGGUUUAUAAAAGACAGUCACUACUCCAUUAGGUCAUUGCUCUGGAAAGAAGUACUAUGUAUAUUAAACUCUCCAACCCAUUCAUACCCAUGCAGGGUCUAAGAUCUGUUUUCUCUUUCUUUCCUUAUACUCUGUUUCUCCCUCUCCUCCUCUCUCUCCCCUUCCCCAUCUCCUUUUUCUUCUUUUUCUUUCUCACUUAUUUGGAGCCAGAGCUUCACUAUGUAACCAAGUCUGUCCUCUAACCCAUGAUUCUCUACCUUCAACUUUUCCAAUUCUGGGAUUACAGACAUGCACCAUGCAUCAUGAUGUCCACCUUUGGUCUGGGAUUCCUAAUAGUGUUUUAGUUGUGGUUGAAUGCACAUGAACAAUUCUGUCUGUCCUUAUGCAGUUGUUUUUGUGUGCAUUUACAUACGUUUAUAGACUGUGUGAUGUAUCUAUGCAAAUGAGUGUAUAUAUGCAUACUUACUCUAGAUUAGAGAGUCAGUUUUCUAUACACAGUACCCUGUGUUAGGCUGAAAUGAGUGAACAAUUAUGCAGAUUAUUAAAAGUCUUGUCAUCAUUGGAAAACUGAAGAUUUCAGGUCUCAGAAAUCUUUCUGCCCCUAAAUGCCAUCUGGCACUAUUUUCAAGUUACCUAGGGAGAUGAAGUAUGCUCCUCUUUCUUUUGCCCCAUCCAAGGUCAGUAAAAAAAAGGACCUGAAUGUCAUUUUCCUAAGACUCCUCUACCCAGGGUACAUAUUCAUGCUUAUCUUGAGAGUUUAAAAAAGGAAUGUGAAAGUCAGAGCUGGACUCAUGUAUCAGGAUCUUUAAAGGUGUGGCCUAGGCAUUGUCACCUGGUUUACAAACUCCCUAACCAAAGGCACAGCCAAAUUUGAGAAGCAGCAAGAUAACAUAAUGCUCUUAAUCCUGCCACUCUCAGAACUGCUUUGAGGGGAUGGGAGGUUUGUGGCUGAGCGAGACCAUAGCCUCUGUUUUGGUGGGAGAUUCCCAUGUCUAAGAUUCCCAGUGAUGCUGAGGCUGUUGGCACAGGGGAUAGAGAAGGACUAAUAUGGUUGAGUCCUACAUGUCCUCAAGGAAAGAAUUUCAUGUAGGGAGCUGUUGGCAAGGAGCCCUUGGUAUGAAUGGGCUUCAUGAGCCGUUCCAUUCCAGACCAGCCUUCACCCAUAAUCCCAUCUCCUACUCCAGCUUCUCUAUUACAUCCUACCUAUGUAUUUUGUGACUCAUGUUUUGCUUGCUCUAGGAAGCCCCUGACCCCUCAUAAUUAAUUACCUAUGCUGGUGCCAUUUAUUUCUAUUAGACACGUAUCCUAGGAUUAUAAUCAAUUGAUUUGCUCAUUGUACAUGUAUUAGUUAACAUGUAUUAACUUACUAUGUGAAUUGUUCUCUAAUUGCUUCCAAUAUGUGUAGAGUCAUUAACACCAUGAAGGUGGAUAUGUGUUUUCUAUUUUCCAUGUAACUCUCUGAGGACCUGUCUAGGGCUGGGACACAGACUGUUACAGACACAGGGAAUGUUUGAGGUGGGAUGGGCAUUUAUUUUUAUAGGAUUGAGGAAAGAACUGAAUCAAUCAUGAUGUUACAGGGCUGAAGCAUCUACUUUCUACCCCAGAGAUUUAAGUAAAAGGACAAAGUAAUCACUAUUGUCUACCUGAUAAAAACCCUCAAUAAUUACAAGGAACUCCUAUGCCAUUGAAAUAGGUUUGUUUCCCCUCUUUGGAUCAACAAGCUUAUAUUUCUAAAAACCUUCACCAAAAAUAUAGCAGCUUUUAGUCAAAGAAGUUGUUGGGCCAGGGAAAAGACAUGCUGACUUCCUGUUGGCCUGGUUCAAUCUUGUCUCCAUGACAUAGAGUACUCUGACUUUGGCUCUUGUCUGAGUCAGCACAGUGCCAUAUCCAAUGGGAAUUUUCCCUACUGUCAUACCAAUUCUUCUCUGAAAGAGAGCUUUCUCCUCAAAGCUCUAGUUCCAUUCAGGAGCUGCAGAAGCAGUCCCUUUCCCCAGGCCAGGCCUGGGAUACCCUGUCUCAGGAAGUUGAUUUGCCCUUUCUCAGCAGGAGCAGCCACCUUGCCCACUUACCUGGGAUUGACUAGGGGCCUCAGAGCAAUGUUUGGACACAAAGUCAGAAAGAAGAAUAAGUAUAACAGGUCAGACCUUCCCUCUGUGGUUCCAGAGACCAGGUAGUACUGUGCAAAGCUGGAGUUGCCAAAGAACAGGGUGUAUCAGACAUGAUGCUAUACUCCAUGAUGUCUCAUCCCUUACUUUUCCACCAUAACAGAGACAUAGUAGGUGCUUUAAUUCCCUGUCUGCCACCACAACCAUUUAAUGAACCAGAAACAACAGAAUCAAGUUUGUGUAACUCUUAAAUAUCAAAGUGAAAACCAAACUAGAACAGAAGAUUUCUGGGCAAUCACCUGAACUAAGCUAACAUUCAGUCCAAAUCCUAGAAAGUAAAGUAUUAGUCAAGAAACCAGAACAUCCUUAAAUACCCCUCUAAUUUCUGUUAUCUGCCACAAACUUCGUAACCUAAGAUACUCAAAGAAUGUCAGAGAAAUUGGAGAUGGACCAGGGGGCCAGAGACCAGAAGGAAGGAAAGGGGUAAGGUUGUUGGAGGUAGGUAAGUCAUCAGUAGAGGCCUUUCUCCUGGAGGUGGCACACUAAGUGGGCAGAUGGGUCUGGGUCAUGGGUAACUCCCUUAUGACUUUUGCGAAGGUGUGGUAUACUUUUAGGGGGGAGUUACCUCUCUGAAACCCAGUGAAAGUGUUCUAUCAGCAAUGAGAAGGAGCAAACUGCCCAGUUAGCAUCUGGCCCAGAUAAUCAUAUUCUUAACUAUCUCCAGUUGGUUCAAGCCUCUGAGCCCUCCCCAUCAGCUGAGGGAUGCAUACAUUUAACACAGAGACUGCUUUGCAGCAAGCAGGGAAGCUCUGACCUACAGAGUUGUCCUCCAUCACUACCAGAAACAAGAUGAAUAGUGGAAGGCAACUCCUGGGGUAUAUACCUGGACAAAAGUGGGAUUUAAUAUUUAUUUAUAUAUAUUUUAUGUAUAUGGAUUUUUCCUCCAUGUAUGUCUGUGCAUCCAAAUCUUUGAGUGCCCAAAGAGGCAAGAAGGAGUGUCAGAUUCUGAUGAGCAGGAGUAAUAGAUAGUUAUAACCUACCAUUUGAGUUCUGGGAAAUGACCCUCCAUCCUCUACAAGAGCAGACAGUGCUCUUAACUGCUGAGCCAUCUCUCUAGUCUCAAAAGUGGGAUUUUAAAUUAAGAAAUUUGCCUUAUUCUGUGGUGUCUCACAAAGAGGCAGAUUUCUUUAAUAUUGUAUUCCCUGGGCCAGGUUUGAAUGACCAGAAAGAUACAAAUAAGUUGAAAUAGAUUACUUAUAGAAUCCAAUCAGGGUAGACCAUAUAAGUUCUUGGUAUCCCACCAGUGAAGAAGCUGAGAUGAGGCAGAGGAGGGAGGUAACAAAGAAAGGCACACUGAGCCUCCCAAGCAGGCUUUCUGGCUCUACAACUUCUCCCUUCUGGAAGAUCUUGAUCUCAAUGUCCAUGUGGAUAUUAUCAGACUGUGUUAGUUGCUCAAUGCUCAGAAAGCACAUAAUUUAAGACUCAGUUUACCAUAGUAAGAGACAAAAUAUGCCUAAAUUCAUGCAAGGGAACACAGGAGCUUCAGUAAACAACUCUUGCUGUAGUGAUACCUAACUUUAGAAACCUAGCAACCUCAAGACACUAGAGUUUCCUUUUAGGUUCUCAAUGUAGGACACCCAGUUUGCUUUACAUUUAGAUGUAAUCCUACCUGAAGGGACACUAUGAUUGGUGUAUUUCAGAUUGGUGUUAUUGAUCUGAUAUGUUAAUACCUACCAUAUGUGUAGCUCUUAAAAUAUGCUGGUUACUGCUCAAAACAUAACAAAAUGAACUAAUUUAUCCUUUCAGGUUCCUCUGUUGCUAAUCCUAGUAUAAUUCCUAUUUUAUAGAUGAUAAAUCUGAGGCUAGGAGAAUUGUGUGACCAUAUGAUCAUACAGGUAUUUGGAGUCACAGAGCUGAAAUACAAUCAUAGGCCAGGGGGUGAUUUUCACAUGAAAGGGUCAAAAAGACAAGUGUAGCUGAGCAGAGUUAGAGGGAAGGCCUGGAGUCCAAGUGUCCCAGGUCUUCUCUCAUUCACGGCAAGACUGUUAUCUGUUGUCUAAGGGGCAAAAUAAUUCAGAACAUACUUGGGGACUAAUAUUUAGUUUAACAGAGCUGGUUCUGGGGCAGGAAUGAGAUAGAUACAGCCCCAGGGGAGAUUCAGUGUUCAUUCUUGGAGGGCAAGAGGCAGGGGAGAAAAAGAUAUUAACAUUAUUGUUUCUUUUGUCUAAAUCACAGCUGUGUCUGGACAGAAAUGAAGGACAAUUCUUCUCUGGACAUCCCAGUCCCAACCAGCUCAGCACACACAGGUCUCUGCCGGUCUCUAAAAACAAAACAGGGAAGAAGACUUCCCACCUCAUUCUUUCUGCCAUAGAUCUUCAGACCCUGGCAAUGGAAACAUUCGUAGAGAUGAUCACUGGUCCCAGUGGAGUGGGAGAAGACCUCAGAAGGAAGUAUUAUUUUAGUCCAGAUAUUGCUAUGGAAAGAGCUUCAGUGCCUCAAGGCUGGUAGAAAGGAAGUGUUGAAGUCAGGAAGAUAGGUCAGAGCUGGGGUUGAACAAGGAUGACAGAGGAAGAAGAAAACCCUCAUCUUCCCAUAUCCCCAGCCCCCAUCCCAGAGACACUCAUGUAUUCUGAUCUAUCUGACAUUCUGGUAGAGCCUGAGGGCAUAGCAGACAGAGUUCAGCGCUGUUAAAAGAUCGUUUGAGUAGCUGUUGUCUUCACAGUACUCCCCAUUUCUUCUCCCAGAAGAAGGCUUUUAAUAAAGAGCCACCUCCCUCUGACAACAGGCCCUUAAUUAAUUCAUUGCUAGGCUUUUCCCAUUGAUCAGUGUGGUUGGGAAAAGGGUGGUGAGCAAGGACUGUCUCAUCCAUUGCACCCGUCUCUGUGAUGGUCAGAUGCUAACUUGCUCCCUGGUUUCACUGUUGAGAUCUCUUCUAGUCACCUCACUGCCGGACACCUUCUUCUCAACACCUAUCUCUCCUCAUACUGAUACUGCACAGCUGCUGGGCACAGUGCCAGCAACGCAGGCUCUGCUGGUGGCAGAAUGUAAUACAGCAAGUGCCAGGUUCUCACUGGUCGAUGGGAGAGAACUGAGGCCUUGUCCUCAUGAGAAAUAAAUUCUUCAUUGCCUUUACCUGAACAUUAACAGAUGCCCCAUGAGAUAUUGGUUAAUCAAGCAGAAGGAAGGCCUCCUCUACUCCUCAGACUGUCCCAAUCUUUUCGAUGCCAAAGAAAAGGCUUUGAUUGCCCCAGAUGUUGCUCACAAAGUCUAGAAGCUGCACUACACCGGGCUUCCCUCAGAAGUCACUUCCCAGGGCUUAUGGUUUUAUUUCAAGAUCCCCCAAGUCCAGUCAACUUCCCUUCCCAUACAUGCUAUUGUCCCUUCACAGAUGAUGAUCUAACUCUCCGGGGUAGGGAUCACACCAGGGUAUUCAGCCUUAGCUUGGGGGUUAGUGAUUCCUAAUUUCCACAGCUACAAAGUUGACAAGAGCCAUGACACCUGCAUGGCAAUGCUUCAGAACAGAUGAGAGGAAGAAUGUAGAGGAACCAGAGACGUUGAGAAGGGAUGAAGGAGAGGGGUCUUUCCUCCACCUAUAGGUGCAGAUGGGACCAAGCUGAGUAAGACCAAGCAGGGAGGUAAUUUUCAGAAGGCAGUCGGUCAUUCCACUCUCCUUUCCAAAGGAGCAGGCUGGGAGCAGGGAGAGAAGGGAGGGGCAGCAAGCAGGCCAUUUGCUAUUGGAACUACCAGCCUAUCUGGGAAGGUGGCCCCUCUCUGGAGGAGGAAUAGUCUGUUAGGGUCUCCACAGGGUCUGUGGUGGGGACCAGAACAUUGAGGCCACCGGAUCCAUCAGAGGAUAGCAACAUUCUAAGUCUGACUUUUUUUUCCCCACUUCCUGAAAAGGAGUAAAGUGAGGGGGUGGCUUUAGUCCUUAACCCAGAAGGAAAGCAGCUGGAGCAGACCUACCCACUUCUAAUCUGUGACUUAGAAAGAGCAGGCUUUUGUGCCAAGCACUAAAGCAUCCCCCCUGCCCCUCCCACGCCCCCACUCCCCCUACACUUGCUUCUCUUAAAAGAGCUCUGUACCUCUCCUGGGGCUGUGAUCAUUAACUGAACAGCACUUUGCUUCUUGGUGCUUUUGACAGUUUGGCAGUGAUCUGGAGAGUACCAGAGAAGCUGCAAAGAAGCAUGGGAGGGAGGCAGACGUGUGCUCAAUGGAUCAGCCUGUGUGUGCUAACUCCUGGCUCUGCUAUACCUGGCUACUCUGAUUCAGGGCAUGUUAGGUUAGAAAAGUGGGGGCCACACGGAUUUUCAUCUCAGCCCCUUUGGCUAUCACUUGGAAGCUUUAGGGCAUUGAACUAUGACCACUGCAGACAGAGAUUCCUCCAGGAGAGGUAGGAAUGAGCAUUGCUUAUUUUGUCUGAUCCCAGCAUCUCCCUAGGGGCAAGUAGGGAAAGGGCUGAAGGCUGAGGGCUGGGAAGCCUCUGAAGUUGUCCAGCAGGAGAGACACAAACAGUGAUUGUUCAGCACCACCUAGGGCCUGGGCCUUUUCUAAGAGAAAGGAAAAGAGAUGGAAUAAAAGGAAGUCACACAUACCUAUCGAGUUGUAUUAUAAACCUGAUUCAAGGUCAGGGAAGAGGUGAAUUUUGGCUUCUGAAAAACCAUCUCUGAUAAAGCACCUCCAGAAAAUAGAAGUUUUAGCCAUGAGGAAGGAGAUGGCUCAGAAAAGGCGGUGAGCGCGCAGUUUCCCAGAGAGCUCUGUUCCUCCCUGGUUUUCUUAUGGCUUCUCUGUUAAUGCUAAAGCUGCUAUGGGCAACAGCCACCUUAUACUAACCUCACUUUACCAUCAAACCCAUGUCACAUUAAAACCCGGGACGCAGACUUGUGAGGCAAAUAGCCACAAGUCAGACAAGCAGCCAGUCUAAGCAAGAACCUGAACUUGGAGCAGUUUAUUAGUCUCUAAAAGAAAAAAAAAAAGCCCAACUUUGCCUUUUGUGUGAUAUUAACAUUUCAUUGUCCUUUAUUUUAACACUCAUCUGUUGCCAUCUGAGUCUUGAUCUAAGUGCCAACAUAAAUUAUAAAUUCCCAGAAGUAGAAGCUGGAUCUAAAGUGUUCAUUUUAUUCAACUUUUAGCAGCACACAUGCUUAACAGGGUACUUUAACAAUUUCAUUCCAUCCUCGAUCAACUUAGAACUCUGGAAAGACCACAAACUUGGUCUACAAGAUCUUAGCCAGAAAGCUCCCUUUCCUUUAUGGUCUCAUAUGCUUCUAUUGUUUGUUACUCCGUGAGAGUGCCUCCCUGAGUAUUGGUUAUUGCAUUGACUUCAUAUCUUUGGCACUUGAUGAGGGGUUACUAUUAGCAUUGACAUUUAAAAGAAGUUUCUGAUUUUGAUGUUAAACUCUUGUCCUAGAAUCUGUACAAGACCCCCCAUGAUCAUAAAUUAUUCAUAGAAUGUAAAGUCUUUCCUUAAAAAAUGUGAGUGAGUCCUACCAGAAGGAAGAGUUUUGGGAUGCUUGGGAACCUCAGAUCAAAUCUAAUCUUUUCUUGAGCCUCCAUUAAGUUUAAUAGUUUAUUUCCUCCAUACCUUUGUGGAGGAAGGGGCAUGGAUGCUCUAGUUCUAAGUUAGUUACUGUUACGUUGCCCCGUCUUUUUUUAUAAAUCACCUGAAUUUCUUUGAGAAAAGUGAGGUUAAAUAUAUGCAAGGAGUAAUGCUCACACCUUCCCUUUGUGCCUACAGCAUUGCUUUGGCCCAGACAUGGCCUUUGCAUUGGGCUUGUGUGCAUGUGCACUUUGGAGGCAACAUUCACUAGUAGGUGUUCUGAAUGGGGGCCUGGAAUGGUUUAAGUAUCAGCAGGUGGUUGCAAGAGACAGGAGACAAUUCUCAAAAAAUGGAGCCAAUUGGCCCAGAUGCCACACAUUGACAAAAGCCUCAAGGCUGACCAUGGCUCAGCCUGUAUUGAGUAAUAAAGUUUUUAGUAGUAAUAAAGUUCUGGAUGCACAUGUAAAGGAAAAGAAUGAAUGAAUUACUGAAUGAAUGAAUUUAUGAGCCAAGAGAGUCAUCCUAUAGAGAGAUCAUCGGGGCUGCAGGGCAGAAAAAUCCCUUCUUUGGGUCACAGAAGACACUCAACCUAGAUCAUUGAGGGCUGGGCUAUCACCCUGUUUUCGCCACAGCCAGGUCUCAAGCAUUCAGUGCCUGCACCUUGUGUUGCAAAACUAGGUCAGUGGGCUAGGCAGCAGAGGAAAGCAUGUAGGGAGAGAUAGAAGAAGGCAAAAAUGGAGGGAAGAUGCAAGCAGUGUACAGCUUCUGCUGCCCUUGUUGACUUCCCUCCAGAAAGGAAAGUAACAGCAAUGUUAGCCUGCAACAUAUGGGUGUGAUAGUGUCUACAAACCAGUCUCUAGUUUUACUGGCCACCUUCUUUAUUUCCUAUUUACUUUUUCUCCUCUUCUGUUUCUGAUCUUUCCAUUCUCAGUUCUGCACCUUCUGCUUCCCCUCCCCCACCUGUUUUUGCUUUUCUUUCUGUGUACUCUGUCUGUCUAUCUCUUUGCCUAUUCUGCCCCCCACCCAACCCUAGACACACAUUCUUCCAGAUAACUUAGAAAGAUGCUCUUUAGAGAACCCUACCCACAUUUGCCUAGAAUCCCAGCAUCAGCCACGGCCAGGAGAAACCAGCCUCAGAGCUCAGGACAUUCCCACCACCCAUACUGACCUCUGUCCAACCUAAACUUUACUUCUAAUCCCAUUGGCUUUGCUGACAUCAGGUGGGCUAAUUAUUCCCUGUAAUUAAAUGGGAUAACCCCCCAUUCCUAAUCUCAGAUAAUUAGCUUUCUGAUUGCCUGUGCUGGGCAGGAAAUUUAGUGUUUGGAGAGGGAUUUUGGGCAGACAGAUUAGACAAACACUAUUCAGGAAGCUGUACUGUGAAAACAUACUGUUCCCAGAAAGUUUGUUGUUGAAGAUAUUUAGGAUGGUCAAAAGGGCCUGGCUCCCUCUAGGUGGUCUGAAGUGCCUUUCAAUUCAUGGGGCUUCCCAAAAAGAGAGUACCUUGGCUUGGCUUUUAGAAUUCUUCCCAAAUGAUAGAGCGAGAGCUGAGUUUCCAGUAGUGUAAGCCAGCCUAUAGAUUCCCUAGCAGCGACUCUUUCCUGUUCCUUGCUGGAAGAGGAACCAGUAGCCCCCAAAAACAUGCCCACACGCUAGAUGUGUGUUCAAAAGUUAGCAAAAUAUGACAAUUGACAACAAGUGGCCAUAAUUCCUUACAUCCUAACACAUGGGGAAAGAAGCUGGGGAAAUCCAUGUCUUAGAUGCUCUAGGGACAACAUCCUGGAGCUAGCAUGAUUCUUGUGCUCUGGACCCCUCUAACAGGCUUUGCAUUCUAUCUGCCCUUGCUGAGGUGUGUUUUGAUCAUGCAUGGUUCUCUGUCAACUAAUUCUUCUUUCCAUUAUCAUCAUAGCUAUGAUCCUCAUGUUCAUCCUGAAAGGAAGGUCUCACACAAAGGAAAAUAGUCCUGGAAGGUCAGAAAACAAGCCAUAGUAAAGACAGUGCCAGGCUGGAUCCCUCUUGAUCUUUGUGCAAUAUCACAUCAUUCAGUUCUUAGCUUCCUCUGUCUCAAGAAUUUGGGCUUUUAGGUGUUAGAGUGAUAGGCAAUGGAGGACAUUAAGAAUGCUAACAGCUAAGGGUUAGUGGACUCCUGUGGGCUUUGAAAGCUCACCACUAAGAUACUGGCUGGCUAUCCAGACUUCUUGCUGCCAAGGAGCUGGCUUUCAAGAGCCCUAAAUAGCUGGAACCCUGUUGUCAUUCCUUUUCCUUAUGUCCUGUUCAAAGCCUUCAGAUCAUGUCACAAAUGGGCAGAAACUGAAGCAGAGGCAGUAAAUACAUGGGGCCUGUGCUCCCAGAUCAAGGAGUGGGAGCAGGGGCUGGGAGCUGGCACCGGGAGGAUUUAUUCAGCCUGAUGGCCAAGGUUACUGGCCCUGCUCCUCCACUGCAAUUCCACCAAUGAGAUCAGGGUAUGGGGAAGGGAACAUGGUCAUGGAUGGAUUCCAGAUGGGCUAUCAAGUUUGCCCACAGUCGACUCUAAGACUCCUCUGGUCUCUGCAUCUUUCUUACCUCUGAUUCAGCUGCCCAGCAAAGGCCUCCAGUGGAAUUCCAGUGAAACCCAAUCCACCACUUUUUAGUCUCUUACUUCCACCCUUCUGCUACCGGGACAGUGCAUGCAUUUCUGUCCCUUCUUCAGCAUCACAAACCUCCCAGAAGUAGAAAGGGCUGGGAUUAAGUAUUUGGCUAACAGCUGGGCCUCUUGCUCUAGAGCUCUGACAUGUCUCUCUGGGAGAUAUAGCAGUAUAAGGUUGUGGGUUCAAGUUCUGGACAUGAGGAUAAGGUGCCUGCCUGGAAAAUCUGGGGGUAGAGGCAGAAACUCACAUUCCUCUGAUUGUCUGAUUCAUCUAGGUGGUAGUAAGCCAAGCAUGGGACAUGGGACAGAAAAACACAUAAAAUGGUAGGAAAAGGGACAGGUGCCUGCUAGCACUCAACAACUCAAGUGUCCCAUGAUGCCCUUUUCAUUUACUGUGUGGACAGCUAUACUAAGGUUUGCGAUAUUUAAAGCAGACUUGGGAUUAGUCUGUUGUACUUUGCUACAGACACAGUGAAGACACAGCCUGUAUGCUGGGGAAACUAUGCUCUGGGGGGAUACAAGCAAAGAAAACAUGGAUCAUGCUAUAUCAGAUGGUUCCGUGGGCCUGUUCACAUUGAUGACUCUUAAUGAAGGCCCAGUAGGCUUGAGAUGUGAUAGGUUUUGACAUAUUCUUCUCCACUCACCACUAUUUAAAUAAGAUCAUGUUUAUUUUUGCCUUGUAGAGAAAUGGAUUAAAUAUUCCAACUUACAUAAGGGGGGUCACUACAAAUUUUCAUGGUAGGUAUUAAGAUUCCUCAGUCUCCCCUAUGUUGUCAAAGUCCUGCUCUACAGUUGUUUGAAUUUGGGACUGCUAGAUCCUUCCAUCCCAAUUUCCUUUACCUAGAACUAAUGUUCCCAGGCCCUAGGGUGUGCCCUGGCAGCUUGAGGUGCCCUGCCAGGGUUGAUUAGGUGGGUUCAAAUUUGCAUUUUACUUCAGAACUUCAGUUUGGGAUCUGUGGUAAAGAUAAGCAGGACUCCUGCUUCAGUGCCAAAAACCCCCGAGGCCAGUCAUUUGAACUAACCAGAGAGGCCUCUCUCCCUUCUCCCCCACUUUUUCACUUCUCUCACCAGCAGGCUGGCUGGCUGCAGCAAAGGGCUCUCUGAACACUCUUGUAGAAGAAAGACUUUUUUUUUCUUUCUCUCUCUUUUUCUUCUCCUUCUUCAAAGAAGAUGCAAAGCUCCCUCCAGCCUCUCUGGAGAAUCAGGGAGGGAACAGACUGUCUCAAAAUGCCAUUAAAACAUCUCUCAAAUUAAAAACAGUCCUGGAAUGUACAGCUUCAUGAGAGAGCAUCUCAAUGAUAUAUGAAAGUGCUCUCUGACUACCUAUGGGUGUGCAGGGUGUAGGCAAGCAUCAAACACUCUCCCAGGGCUGGGUCCUCAGCUCUGUCCAGUGAUGCAUGGUAGGAUAUGCAUUUAUUUAGUCUUUCUGGGCCUCAGUUUCACCCCAUAAAUUUUAAAAAGGGCAAAGAUUAUUUUUCUCUCCUACCAUAAUUUUGGUAUGCUUCAGCAAGAAUUGGGUCCAAUAUUCCCAGAGACACUGGUCUUGCCAUCUUCUGACUUACCUCCCUUGCCCUUCCUCUUCCUACACUCAUGGUGCUAUUUUAAGUUGCGGCUUCCAGCCAAAAUCUGUACUUUAUUAAUUACAUGUCAACUACUCGGUGCAAUGUUUAAUACGCUUUCCAGAUUGCAUCAAGUCUGCAGUGAAGACAGGCGCCUGACUGCAGCCUGGGUGCCUGGCAGGCUGGGUGGUGGGCCCACUGGAGUAUACCAGGGCCUGCUUUUUCCCCUUUGUGCUCUGAACUCUGUGUUCAGACCAAGCCCAGGUCCUGCCUGUAGUCCAUUUAAAGUUUACAGCACCUCACGAUAAGCACAGCACUCUUGAUGAACAGGUAGGAACACCAGACUCCUUAGAAAAUGCCAAAGGGCAAGGCAGCAGGUACAAGGUGGGGUUGAUUGGAAAAUGACCCAGAAACACACUAAGGAAAGUUUGACACUGAUCAUCUGCUCUGCAAAGCCUCUGUGGAGAGCAGGAAUGGUGGUAUAUAUUCCUGAUGCCUUGUUUUCUACCUUUGUGAGUUGGGCACAUUGCUUAGCUUCUUCUUGGCUUCAGGGUUAUCAUCUAUUAAAAUAAGCACUGACUCUUCAUGAGGUCUUAGAAAUAGCCUUAUCUUCUUUCUGGAAGGAUAUCCUGGGGGAUACAAAGAUGUAUUCCUCUGGCUUCCUGGUCUGAAGGAAACUAUGACCUAGCAGGGAAGUAACAAGGAACAAUAAGUGUCAAGUACACACUAUCCCACAGUCUUGACAUGAACACAUUAAAGCCCCUAGCCUCCCUCUGAGGUAGGUUGCUAUCACUGUUGUGAUAUAUAGGGGAAAGUAAAUCAUAGAGAAGUUUAAUUUAGUUGUCCAAAGUCAUACUCCAAGUAACUGGACCGAGAAAAUUUAGUAGAACCUCUGAGGCUCCUCUGAGGUGAGGUUUUAAGCCAUGCAUAUUGGAGUCACAGAGAACUGUACCAGCAUGCACAACCUAGCUGAGCUGUCACAUCCCCAGGAAUCCUUCUUAUAUAGCAUUGGCACCUUAGUUUCAGCUCUCAGUCUGUUAGAGGGACUUUGUUCAUCUUUCCAAUGCUUGCCUCCAUUGCAACAGCAGCCUUCUCCCCUCCCCCCAUCCUAUGAGGCUAUUCACCCCAGUGUCACACAAAGUGUCUAGCACAUCUAUGUGUAAUAAAUGUUACACUCAGCCUCUGCUGUGUCCUUCUCUCACCCUUGACUGUUGGUGUUCUGACUCCUUGUACCACCUCCCAAAGGGCUUGCACCUCCCCACAGAAUACAGGAAGGCGAAUGCAUUCAUGUGUUCACCUGUCCAUUCUUCCCAAGCUUAUGGGUUCUGACACUUUCUGUAUAUUGCUGCUGGGUAGCAAUAAUGAGCAAUUUAGAAUGGAAAUUGGCCUUAUAAGGAGGAGACUGGUUAUGUGUGUAUUAGAGUACUGGGGAUUGGGACAGUCUGCCCUGAAGGCUGAAGGGGAAGAGAGCUCUCUGACUUCCCUUCCCAGCAAAUCUACCACAUUUCUUCCCUGUUCCCCAUUCUCUUCUCUGUUCAUUACUAACAGCAUCCAGCUUCAAAGACCAAGAGGAAGAACAGAGUCUUGCCCUUGCCCCAGACUUCUCCCAGAAUUGGAGGUGCUCCGUCUCCCUAUUCCUAUCCAAGAGAGAAGAGAGACAGCUGUGUUUUCUCCUCUAAUGGGGAAUUCACCGCCAGUGGCCUCCUGGGGUAUCCUUUUUUGACAGCCAGUUCCUGACAUCAUGUACAGAAUAUUCUUCCAAAAUCUUAGGGGAUUAUGUGGGACAAGAAAAGAUGGGAAUAUCUGAUACUCUAAAAAAAAAAUGGGGACAAUUUGGUUCUUUAAAACACAAGGGCAAGCAUUGUAUUUUUUUAGCCACAAGAGGGAACAUAAAAGGCCUUCCAGAGUGAAGUGGACAGAUUGCACAUAUCCAGGCAGCCUACCUGCCUGGCCCUUGAUCUCUGAGUGUUACAUGCAGUGAACUCCAGGAGGAGGGAGCUUCUAAGGACGCACUUAGCAGUCACCACCUAACUCUAGCGGCACUAAUGGGUUCUGCUAUCUCAUUGGGACCCUUGUCUGCAGAUCAGCAAAAUGGAAGGAGGUGACAGGUUAAAAAUACUCUGUUAGCAAAGAGGCUUAGGUAGGGGCUAUGUCAAGGGGAUGUCAGAGAGAGAGAGAGAGAGAGAGAGAGAGAGAGAGAGAGAGAGAGAGAGAGAGAGAGACCAACUGAUCCCUCUGGAGCAGGAACCGAGCCACUGGACCCUCACCUUCUCUUUCACCUACAAUUUGAGUUUACCCAGUGUCUGGCAAAGGACUGUGGGCAAGAGAUUAAUUCUGACUAGACAGUCAUAAAUUGGGUCAUGCGACUCCCCCUCCACAGCUUGCUGUUUGGUCAUUAGUGUGGUAGUAUGCCACAGGCAUCUAUGGGAAGGGAGAUGAUACCAAGGCUGAUUUAUUUUCUAUCUCAUACCUCUUACUCAGGAAAGGCACUGGGGCUCUAAUGGGAAGAGACAUUCAUAUACUCCCUUCAGACAAUAUUUGCAUUGAAGUGUGUGUGAUGUGGGUCCUCCUCAUAUGGGCUUAUUGCAGCCUUGCAGCAUGACCAGGUAGUGGAAAUUACUACUCAAGUCUGCACUUAGGAAAAUGAGGCUUUGAGCAUGUGUGACUGCCCACAGAAGAGGCAGUGGACACCUCUAAGGUCCUGCAGCUUUCUGUUAUGGUUCAUACCGUCUCUCUCAACCUUGUUCUCUUAACUGUUACAUCAAGGAGAGCCCAUAGGGCUCUCCCUUCUAACCCAGGGUAAGGUCUCUUCAUUUGUCUUCAUAUUCCACAAAGGACCAGCUGCCAGCCUUUUGUCUAGGGAUGACCAGCACUAAGCUGGCUAUAGCAUCAUUUGUCUCUAUUCCCAGGAGACAAGGACCAGAGAGAUAAGGGGAAGUUCAUAACUUUCAUAUCCUCGUCUUUGGUCAGAUUCAGUACUGAGGCCAAAGGAACCUGAAACUUUGAGAUGAGACUUACAUUCUUACAUGUGGGCCAGGUCACCUGGGUGUCAUCUGUCAAAUAGAGAUUUCGAAUGCUCUUCAAGUCCCAACGACAAGCUCACUAGAACCAACUAUUGCUGAAAAGGGUGUCCUCAGACUGAUUUCUUGUCACAGCUGGGGGUUAUGAGCUGAGGGUUGCUUUCUUGAGAUAAUCAGCCUCUCCUACAGUGGUCCAAGAAAUGGAACCUUCCUCCUCACUCCAUUCAUACCCAGAUGAAACACAAGGUGAAAGAGGUAAGGGAGCUCCCUGCUGCCAAAUCCUGUGGGAGAGAGCACUGAACACCCAGAAGUACAGACAACCCUGAGACUGCAGGACAGACUGCCACUUCUGCCUACCUUUGCCUACAUCCCUGGCCCAAGAGGAAGUUGCAUAGUGCCUCUGGACACAGGAAUAUAGGAGCAGUCAGCUGCCGGUACCUCUGGUUCUGGUCUGCACCCAGAACUGAACUGAACAGAAAGACUUGUUGUGUUUUUGAUGUUGUGUUUUAAUAGGGCAUAGAAAGGAAACACCAAGAAAUAGUCAGAUUUUGAAAAAUAAAACCAACCCAGAGUAGAAGGCCAGCAAUUACACUCUGGAGUUUCAUUCCCAUUCAUUUCUCCAUGGGCUUAUGAUUCAGGUGGCUGUGUGGAGAAGGAGAAUUGACUGGGGGAUUCAUUGACACAAGCAAGCCCCCGAAGAUGGAAAGGCAUGGACUUGCUGGGACUCCAGGGGGUCUAGAAAGGCCAAGUGCCCAAAUACCUCCUGUACACAGCGUGGGGAGGCAGAGAGUUGACUAGGAUGCCACAGCACCUUCUAUCGAGAAGGUGUGACACAGAUGCCCAUGAAGCUCAGUUACAAAGGCACACAAAAACCUUCUGGAAAACUUUUGACUGCCUCUGUGCAGUCAAAAAAUGAAAGACAAAUUACAUGAGUCUGGGGUUAAGGAAAGGAAAACCGACCAGUCGCACAAGGAGCUUUGCACAGAACAAGAUGAGGGCUUAUGCAGAGAAUUAAGAAGUAACUAAAGGUAUAGGAUUAUGGAGUGGGAGGAAAGUAAAGGAUGCAGUUGGCAAGGAUUUAGGAGAGGAUCUUUUCCCCUUCUAACUCUGUGGAUGGUGACCUCUGGUUUCAGUUCCUCCCAUUACAUAGUCUACACCCCCCACCCCCAUUCUGCUCCCUACAAUCCCUAGUCCUUAGUGGAAUAGGAUUCUCUAUUGUGCUUCUUCAACUCUGCAUAGCACCAGAGUCUGCACCUGGGGCUACGGAGUGAGAGAAAGUUCCCAAAAUAGAGAGGGAGCUUGGGGCUAUGGUGGAAUGUGUGUGCUGACUCCAUGUGUUUCUAGGUCACCGGGGAGCAUCAGUUAGACAAAGGAAAUCCACAUAUAACUUCUAAGCUUCACAUCUCCUGAUGCUGAUUUUAACCUCUUUCUCUCACUACAUCUUGUCCCGGAAUUACUAAUGCAGACUCUCCCAACUGUUGAGAGUUGUUAUAGUUUCUGAAUGAAAAGAGCUCAGAGGAAGAGGAGAGCAAGCAGGGAGAGGAGAGUGGGGGAACUGUGACCUUCCUCCACACCCACUUCUAGCAAAGCACUGAUACAUUAAUUACCUAAGUCAUUUUGAAUGGACUCUAUUACACCUCAUUGUCAGUAACUGCCAUUCCUCAGAGGAGCUGCAAUAUAGAUAGACUCAGUGCACACUAUGUAAUUAAAUAGCAACACAUGUGUCCCCUGCUCAGUACAGGGAGGCUUGUUUACUUGUGAUACUGGGAACUGGCAUGACCUUGCUGAUAGGAGGGCUAUGAAGGCAGGAGGGGACAAUCCAGGAAUCUCCUAAAGGGGAGAGGCCCAUACCCCAGCACUCCCUUUCCUCGUGGUACCACACUCUCUUCCCCACUUGCUGCUCCCAGAAGAGCAUCUCUUUUUAAAACCCCAAGCAGGAGGCAGAGAGCACAUAUUGAAAAUGAUGCAAGUUUUCAAGACCCCAGAGCCUUCUUCAAGUAACACACCUCCUUCAACAAGGGCACCCCACUCCUAAUCAUUCCCAAGCAGUUCUAUCAACUGGGGACUAAGUAUUCAAAUAUAUAUAUAUAUAUCCCUUUACUAUAACAUCUAAGAAAAGUAGAAGCAACAAUACCUAGGAGAUGGACAGAGUACAUUAACUAUGGAGAAUUAGUAUUUGUGAGUGUUUAUAUGUCACAUGUUCUCAGGCCAGGUGAGAGGAACCAAUUCCUCGAUUGAAAUUUCUUCUUCUCUGCUGAUCCUAGUUUGUAUCAAACUGACAAAAACUAACCAGUACAUCAGGGAACAUGACUGUCCUGUGAUUAAAACUUCAACAUCUGAAUCAAAUGUGGGGUUUGUGUGUGUGUGUGUGUGUGUGUGUGUGUGUGUGUGUGUUGCUUUUAGCAGUUCAAGAGUUGGCAGAGUCCUGAUUUAUGAAAAAAUAAAGGAAAAUAAAGAUAGAAAGAAGAUAAACAAUGUGGUUUUAAAGAAUGCCAGACUCUGUUAUGAAGAGGUUAAUGAGCUUUAAGAAACCUUAACUGGCCCUGUGUGGAAAGAUCAGGAAACCCCAGUAAAUCUAGAUUCAUCAUAUGGCCAUGAAAGCAGGACUUUGAAUUCUCAGUAGACACAAGAGAGACCUCUGGGAGGUAGGCCAGGCUCCCCCAAGACUAUGGACUUCAGACUUCACCUUAUGGUCAUCUAAACGUUAUCUAUCUCUCUAUUGGUUUGCUAGGUGAGCUUGCUAGCUUGCACUUUGUAGAGUGAAUUCCUUAGAGAGGGUCAGGGUUGUCCUCCCUCAGGCCUGUUAUGUUCCUUGAUGGAGUCAUUGGUCUAAGAACAACUGGGUUGAGAUAUAAAUGUCCCCUCUUUAUGUGAACUCUCACUCUGACCUUAUGGGUGGGGUGUGUGUCAGAUUGGAAUGAUAAGCAGACCUAGAUGCAUGGCUCACACUCAAACACUGAUAAACAUGUAGAUUAAUGGUGUGACUACAAGACCUGGGAGAAUUUAGACUCCAGAUGGGUUUUAUAUGGUUAGGAGUCUGGACUAUCCACUUUUCUGCUGGUAGAAAGUUAAACACUAUGUUUCUUGGACCUUACAGUGGACUGGAUAUGACAAAGAUAUGUCUCAAACUAGAUUGGUGUUGGCUGUAAAAGUAUAUUUUCGGUGCACCUGGCUGUACCUGGGAGUGGGCCAGGGUCACUGUCCUAGAAUGUAAGCUGGGGCAUGGAAGCCAAAGAAGAUUGGGAUUAAUGUUCACAGCACUGAGAGAUUGGGAUGGGAUUCAGGAGGGGGAGAAAGGAGACACAGAAGCUUGUGCAGCAGGAGGACAAAGGACUGAAAUGAGCAGAAAAGAAUGAACCUGGAGCCUACUUUAAUGCUGCUCUGGUGCAAAGCAAGUCACGUUCCUUUUAUGGCCUUGGGUGGGGAGAUGGGAAGAUGAGAGAAAGAGGGGGAUGCAGCACUCAAGCAAGAGCACAAAGGGUUCAGAGGGAAAGAAUUCAACAAUCUUUAUGACUCUUAGGGAAAAUGCUGAAUUCCAGGUUGAUCACUUCCUCCCCAAUACCUGAACUGUGCUAGCCACUAAUCAUAGAAAUCAGAACCUGUGCAAACUUUUUCAGCUAUGUGUGGGGCAUGUGUGACUUCCCAUCAGAUAUUCCCUGACUCCUUUCACUCACAGCCCUUCAUUUCCUCAAAUGCAGAUGGCUUUGUUUUCCAAAUUUGAUAGAUGCUGACAGGUAUAUUGUUCCUAGCAUCUCCAGACUGCCAGAGGCUGCUUAAGUCAAAUGGUUUUCAUUCCCCUAAUAACUUGGAGUUUUUUUUUUCCUCUUUAAAAAAAAAAGCCUUUAAAAAUGCCUCAUUUUUAUCUUAAAGAGACAGCGUGUCAUUUAUCUUCUUCUUUGCUCAAAGUCAAAUGAACAUUAAACAAAGCCCAACCUGCCUUGAAGCAAUCAUUUGUGACUGGAGGCUGAGAAGUAGGGGUGAGAUAGACCUUGGAGACUACAUCCCGGGACUGCUGACUGACAGGCCUUGGGGAAGCAGGCAUGUGUGGAUAUGCAUGGCAGUCAUGAGGAGAGGCCCAGUCACACAGAGAAAGAGAAAAGGGUCCCAGUGAGAUUGGACAAUAGCCAGGCAUUGGUGAUUGGAGUGCCCACUGGGUGAAGGGGCUGGUUUGAAGGGGCACAAGGAAAAGAAACAAAUCUUGUGUUAUAGCCAAAGCUCAAUAGAUCUCAUGAGGUGGCUCUGACAUCACAAAUCACUUUCGUCUUAGGACUGCCUUUUAUGCUGACAAAACCACCUUUUACUCUGUAAUACACUAUUUUUAACAAGCAACAAUCCACUGAUGGCUGAUGCACCAACCUGAGGUUUCCUAAAGUCUUAUUUGAAUGAUAAGUAUCCUAGUGCAAAAAUAUAGUCCUUGCUCUCAAAGAGUUCCAAACAAGGCACAAUGACAGUAAGCUGAUGCCCGAUGGAGAUGUGAGUGUUAGGGGGUUUUUUCAGUCACCAGUGGCCUAGAGAAGCAUGGCUCCUGUGUACUGUCAUGGGUGACACCAUAUGAAGACAGGUUGCAUCUGUUACCUUAAGAUGGGCUGCAAUAUGGACCGUCUGCUCAGGAUGAAUUGUCAUUGGGACUGCAGUCUGAAGAUGGUAGUAAGAUGGACCAAGGACACACGGACUCAAUGAAAAUAAGGAAGUUCAUCUAGUACUUGGUCUAUAUCAGAGAACCAUGAUGCCGGUGACAAGCAGUUGUCAUGCACCACCAUAUUACUGCCACUGCUGGAACUUCAGACCAGGGAGACCUAAGCAUGCUUGGUAGGGCUCUUUCUAUCAGUGAUAAAGGUAGUACAGCAACUGUACUGAGACCUAGCUCUCACUGACUACAAAUUCUAGAAAGCUAUGACUCUGUGUGUUCUCUGCUUAUCCCAUCCUCAUAUUCCUAAAAUAAAUGUAGUCUUUAAGAUGUGAGUUACCUUCUCAUUUUAGAGCUGAGAAAAUAGAGAAGCUGUGAGUGUUAGGAACUUGGCUAAGUUUCCUAAAUUAUUUUCUAGACUCUGUUCUCUAACUUUAAAAUAAUAGCUUUUAGAAUCCUAUAGAUGGGGAUUAAGUAAGCAAAUGUGUGUGAAGUGGGCAGCACGUUGCCUAAAAUAUAGGUAGUGAUUCAUAAAUCUUCGCCAUUGGCAUUGUGACCUGGGACUGAGGGAAUGACUCACAGUACAUGCACAGCCCUAUGGCGAACAGAAUUCUGGGUCUUUAUUAACUCAGUUAAUAAAAGGAUUAUUAAUAAUGAGGGAUGAGCACUUAGAAAAGCAUGUGGGAACCUAUUUUGAAUAACCAGGGAUACCUGUGUUGGGUUUUGUGAAACUGUGUUCUGUUCCUUUCUCUAUUUUUACCUCUCUGUUUUGACACUGCCUUCAAAGAAAGAACUCCAAUGCCCUUCCAAUCAUUGCCGUUAUUUCCUCUUCUCUUCCCCUGCACUGCUUACCAGACAUGGCCCCAGCACCGCUCAGCUGUGACUGGCAUCUAGGACUCACAAAGGCCUGAGCUCAGCACAAGGCAGCUGAGUUAAGCACAUGUCCUGACACUUACCUCAUCAUGUGGAGUCUGGCUUCUGAGUUCACUGGUUGCUGACUGUUCCCAGUUUGCUAUAACCUUCUCUAACAAAUCCUAGACGUUCAGAGGAGCUGAUUACAGCAUACCUUUGGCCAAUAGCAACUUUGCUGUUUAUUCUCAUUCACAGAUGUGGGACUGUGACUUCUUUCCUCCAAAAAGGUCACACUUCCAAUAAUGCUACUUCCUAUGAAUCUAUGGGGGCCAUCUUUAUUCAAACCACCACAUCUGGUGAAGAGUAUAACAAUAGAGGACUUUGAGCCAGUCUUGCUUUCUCUGGGUAUAGCUGUCUUACUGACUUGUGCAAGAAGCAGUGCUAGAAAUAGCUAAGAGCAAAAUUCAGAGCCAAGCUCUCCAAGAUGGAUUCAGGUUACUGGUGCUUGUGAGUCCAGUUACUCCAUAUAAAAACUUCUAAGGAGGUAUAUCUAAAGUAGUCAGAAUAUGAGCUGGUGCAGGAAGCAUUAGAUGUGUCCUCUAACAUUGUGGUCAUUUUUCCACGAAACCAGGGAUAUGUGAUUGGUGAGGCUUCUGAAGGUCUCUUGAAAAUCCCAUGUUUCUAGUUUCCUACAUCAUGAGCUCUAGUUAGAUUUUAGACUUAUCUAGGAUUUGCUGAAUGCUUACCAUGUGUGAAUGUAUUAUCUUAAUUGCCUUAAUUAUCUUGAAAUAAGAUCUGUGAGCCCCAUGUUAUAUUCAUCAAGAGCCAAUACAAGGAAGUCUCAGAGAAUCCCAGUGAAGUUCUCAAUAUCAAAUAGCAUAUAUGUGGCACAGUGGGAGCCUCCUGUGGUUCAGCCUAGUAUCUCUCUGCAGUGGGACAAAGGAACAGACUGAUCUUUGGUGCAGAGCAGUCUCAUCUGCAGAAGAUGUAAGGACAACUCAGUGCCUCCCACUAUUCAGACAGAUCAAGGGCUGGGGCUAAGUGAGUGUACUGAGCCCAUCUCAAGGGUAAGUGGAGGUCUUGCCAAUAAAAAUGUUACCAGCUGAACCAGCAUUAACUAGCCAUAUUGGGGAUGAGAUGGGGGAACUAAUGCUAAUCCUCUCAUUACCAGCCUGACCUGUAAGAGGGCAGCCAGUUACAACUCAGACAGCAUCUGUUACUGCAUCCUGCUCAACUCUCAUUUCUGGAAAAUGUUGCCUGAGCACAAGCAUUCCACAGCGCAGGUUAUGAGUAUACAUGGAGAUACUGUGAGACUGUGUGCAUUCAUGCAGAUGCUGUGUGCAGACAAUGUAUAUAGGCAGACACUAUUUUGAAUGUGCAAACACUGGAGACACAGUGUGCAUGUAUGUAUACAUUGUAUACAUAUAUGUAGACAUUGAAUACACAUAGACAUUGCAUAUGUGAAGACAUUGUAUGGGCACACGAUGACACAGUGAGCCCAUGUCUGCAUAUGUAUGCAUACUAUAUGCAUAUAUAUAUACACAGACACUGUGCAUGCAUGUGUAGUUGUGUAUGAAUUCAGACAUUUUGUACAUACAUUUAGACACCAUGUGUAUGUGCACUGUGAGAAGUUAUAGAUACAUGUAUAUACAUAACACUGAAAUAUAUACAUCAGAGAAGGAAGUAGAGACCCAAAGAUUCAGCUCUUUGAACAAAAAGAGAAGUUAGUAGAAUACAUGUGUCAGGCCAAAUGUGUCCUGGGGAAGAGUCCUCCCCAGCAGUUACAAUAUAACUGGCUCUUAGGAUUUUGUUUUUGCAAAUAUGUCCAUGGCUUGCUUAGUACUGCAAGAGCUGUACUUACCAACUUGUACUAGCUACUUUUAGCCAGGAGCUUAAAAUGUGGGAAAGAAGGAGGUGGAGACUUGGAAAGGCCUGGCAACUAUUUGCUUGGGGGAUGGUGGGGAACAACUCUCUGGAGUACUGUUCUAUUCUUGCAGAGAUGCCAGGGGGAGGAGGAGGAGGAGAAACACAGAAGGUAGAGUCAUAAGGAUCAUCAGUUGGUGGUGAUAGGAGGAGGCAGGGGCUAUUAGAGGGAGGAAGCAAGGCACUGUCCAGCUCCCUGGAUGGUUAUCAGCCAGAUGUGGAGAACAUAUGGAGGAGAUGGACUAGAGCGGAGCACAGAAUGGAAACUGGAGAGGAAGGGUAGAACAGACAGGUGACAGUCUGCAUAUAUAAGCCAUCAGUGGCAAUUGAGAGGAAUUUCCAUGUCCUUGUUAGGAAGAUGCUAAGAUUCCAGAGGUUGAUAGGCAGUAAGCUGACAGAGCAGACAGUAAGCCCCAGGAUUCUGCCCAUCUCCCAGUGCUGGCCUUACUAUCACGAACCACUAUGCCUGGUCUUUUCUCCAUUGGUGUUGGGGAUGGAAUGCACGUCCUCAUGCUCGGAAGGCACAUGUUUUAUUGACAAUUAAGCCAUCUCCCUACUCCUUUGCUUGCUUUGAGUUCCUCCCAGGCCUAGACCUAGAAGGUUACCCUACACCUUAAUAGCCUUUCGGCUUCUUCUUUUCCAGGCAAUCAAACUGGAGUCUUGUAGUCUUCCUCAGUGUCUUUGAGAUGUAAGGGAAAUUGGAUUUGGCCCCUGCUGAUCUGAAACCUGCCCAGUGCUGGAAAUUCUCUGGCCUGGUUUGGCCUGUUCCUGUUUUGGGAAAGCUGGGACAGCUGGGAGUCAGCUGUGGUUAGUACUUUGAACACUAACAGCUUUGUAGAAGUUCCUGGAUGCCUGAGAAACAGAUCACCAUGGCUGUCCACCAUCUCUCCCGAAGAGAAAGGAUGUCUGACUCAGCAGAAGCUGGAAAAUGAAGGGGUGCCAACUGGGGACUCUUCCAUGAAGAGGAUAUGGAAUCUAAAGUGAUAAUGCCUGGGGAGAAAGCCAAGGGGAGGAUAGAGAAGAGCUGAAGGGGAGCAUACAUUAUGCUCUUACUGUUCAGACGGGGCUAUUAGUCCCAGAUGACCAUCUCACAGUGAUAAGGUCUCAAGCAUGGAAAGUGGACACUCGCUUCUCAGGAGUCAGCUCCCUCCUUUCUACUGUAUCAUUCCAGUUCUGGUAGGUUUUAUAGGUUUAUAACACCUACCAGGGAUAGAAGGUAUUGACUUAAAGGAAGACUCUUUAAUGUGACCCCAGAAAGAUCCUAUCAGGACAAAGAAGGCCCCUAAACAGCCAAGACAACUGGUGAAGACCCUUGUUUACUUGAUUCUGCCCUUGGCUUUAAGGCCUGAGGUGGAGGCCUGAGGGAACGACGUCUUCAACAGUAACCCUCAUUCUCCUGGUAAAUGGGCUAGAAGCCUGAGAAGGCUAAUUGGGUAUGACUAUAAUUGAUAGACUCAAUGGGGAAUAAGGCCCUGGAGUACAGAGAUCAGCCUUAAUGGAAAGUUAAGAAAGGUAAUCUUCCUCAGAGUGUAUAACCAAGCCUGAUGACUGGAGACUGGAGUCUGACAGUUAAAAGAUACCUAGAGGCUUAGGUGGGGUUACAGGGUGGAUCCAGAUUGACUUCCUAUUCAAGGUAGUUUGUCCUUGUCUGAAGCAACUUUUCAGACCCUUUCCUUUCUCCUGCUUGCCAUUUUUAAGCUUACAAUGGCUUUAGUUUGAUCUAAGGUCAUAGUGACUGCUAAACACAAGAGGAAAAGAAGAGGCUGCCAUUUCACAAGUGAGGAGGUGGAAGUCAGAGGAGUCAUUAGUGUCUAUAGCAUGUUUGAUCAAAGGACAGGUCUGGAAGCGAGAUCGAUACUGAAGAGGAGCCCUAGUGCUUGAAACUAACUCUGGGACUGCCUAUGACCUCUAUAUUUCUCCAGGCUUGCACAUAACAAAAUCUGUCUUACCAUAUGGAGCAAGAAACUUAGCCACCCUGAGUGUGAGCUCUCAGGCUAUAUACAGCAUGGUCAUAGCUGUGAUGGGAUCAGGGAUAUAAAAGAAGAUGAAUUGUCAGGAUGUUGAUGGAAGAAGAAAAGCUUUAAGAAGAAUGUCACCAAGUAGGCUAGACUGUGAAAGGAGUCUAGGCAAAUAAUAUGUUCUAGAGUAAACCUAGACUUCACUAAGGAUAUGUGAGGGAAGAAGGAAGGGAGGGAAGGAAGAAAGAGGAAGAAGCUUGGUGAGUCCAGAAUGCAGCCCAUGCUGAAUUAAAGGCUAAACCCUGUAGUCCUUUCAUAACUGCACAUUUGAGUAUGCCCCUACUUAUUGAAAGACCUUGGUGGUUCCCCUUGGUUACUAAAAGACAGACCUUCUAGAAUGCCUUUCAAGAUUGCUAGCAGCAAGACCCUCAAUCAGUCUUUGCUGACAGCAACUCCUCUGUAGCAUAGAUCUGAGUUGUUCUGGAUCAAACAAUUCAUGGUUCACUGGACGUGCUGGGCUUGAAUUCACACACACACACACACACACACACACACACACACACACACACACACACACACACACACACACACAGAGUGCCUUUGCACACACUGGUUGCUGUCAGAAAGUGGACUUCAGUCUAUUCUCCAGCUCUAAACUCCUUGGGUUUACAAGUCAUGCUGAAAUGCCUGAUUUUCUUUGAUAUGUGUCUGACUCUCAUAGACUGUUACUCAUUUCUUGUACUUCCGGCCCUCAGUACUGGUACUGAUAACUAUCUAUUUUGAUGCUAUCCCAAUCGUUAAUACACGGUAGUGCUGUGUGUGAGUCACCUUUCCAGUUUCCCUAGCUAGCCUAUACCGAAUCUAACACAGGGCCUCACUGUUCACUGGGUUAAAACCAGAUGGAAAUGCAGAUUCUGGAACAAGACUGUCUGGUUGCAGACUUGCCCCACCCUCUGCCAGCUACACUACCUGAACAUCUCCUUGCUUCUGUUGUCUCCUUUAGAAAAUGGGAUAAUACCCCUGGGGUUAUUAUGAGGACUAGAAAAGAAUAUAUGCUGAGCUUUAGGAACGUAGCAAUGAGUAAGCCUCACAAGAGUGUUUACUGCAGUAAUCAAGUCUUCAGAAGGAGGUAACAUGGAAGUUUCAGGCUAGUCACAUUUUUUCCUAAGGGAACUCAGAAGAACACAGAAAAAGUGCUACCUUGUCCAGGGAUGGGCAAUGUAGUUUUGACAAAUGACCCAUGUAGGACCAGCUAGCAGUGAGCCAAUGGCCUGGACAUUUGGGUCAAUGGGUCUCUAGCCAGCAGCAGUGUUCUCAUCUGGGAACUUGCUAGCAAUGCCAGUUUUCAGUUCCUUCCCCAGUCCAGUACACUAUGUUAGAAACCCUGUGGUGAAUGCAGUUAAAUUGUAAGGUGAGUGUGACAAACUCUCCAGUUCAAGGACUACUGGGCUAGAUGCUGCCCAUAUGUAGAGUAUGCCUUGAGAUUUCUAAUCUUAGUUAAAAAUAACCAUGGGUUUCUCCUGAGGCUUGAAUACAUCCCAGGUGGAAUAUGCUCCUGCUUCUGGGAUAUAACAUGAGUGCAUUUGACUGCUUCUACAUUACAGUGUGGACUUGCAUGCUAGUACCUGUGUUCUUUCUUUCUUCAAAAGGGAAGGCAGAGAGAAGCUAGACUCUAGACCCCGUUUUUACAGGAAAAAAAAGUCCCUAAGCUUUCGCAGAGCAGAGGAAAAGAGAAGUCAUGGCAAGAGCCUUGGAAAACCUGGCUUCAAGGUGCACACAAUGUGCAAUGAGUGUCCAUCAGGUUUGGGGAUGGUGGGAGUGGGGAUAGUGCCAUUCUGCUUUGCUUGAAGCUCAGCUAGAGACAGGAACAGGUGGAGAAACAUGAGAGUAGGCCUGACUGUGGGAGGAGAGUUUGGCAGGGGUCCAGUGUUCCCACAAAGGCAUGUAUAGUGAGUCAGGAUGGCUGGUCCCAGCCUCCUAGAGAAGGCCUAGAAUGCCAAUUUAGGGUGAUGUGUGCCUCUACCUUCUCUAUGGGGGUCCAUAGGUAUAGAGCAAACAACACCCCCCCCCCCACACACACACUCACACUGUACCUGGGCCCUAGGCCCUCUUGCUAGGAACUCAAUUUUGAGUGUAUUGACAAGGCACAUGUAAACACCUGUAUCUAUGAGGGUGGGGGAUUAGAAGAGUUCCUGUGAAACUCUAAAUAUAGCCACUUUAGGAUGAUAAAUGGGGGGGGGGUUGUUUAGUCCUGGCCAACAGCAUCUUUGUUAGGAUUAUCCAGACACUUGUAAGAUUAGCAUCAGGGGAUAAAAAAUACUCAGGCCCCAUUUCAGACUUGGCCAAGGAAAAAUUCUGGGGUAAAUCCUAGUAUCUCCAUCAUGAGCCUUCCAGGAAACUGACAAAUGCCUACACCAGAGAACCACUGGCUUAGGACAUGGACUGAAGUCUUCUUGUCUUCAAAGAGAGGAGCACAUGCUUUCUACCACAAAUGUUCCUUCCUUUUGCACUAGCAUUGACUCGUGCCAUCAAGUAUUCACCAUGGUGAUAGAGGUCUGGACAAGGGAGUCUCUGGUAACACAGAAGGGGCAGCAGUACUAAGGUCAGUGAUGGGGAGUGAGGGGUGGGGAGGCUGCCACAGCUAUUCUCUCUUAACAUGAAGGCCCAGGGGAGCCCUAAGCUUCCUUGCCAUUGAAACUGGUAAAUUACAGGCUGAUGACUGUGAUAUUACCAAUAAUGAUGAUAAUAGCACCAAUCAGGCAAGGUCAGACAGGCACUUUUCUGCCUUGGGUCAAGCGGGGAAGGUUCUAGCUUUGGGUCCCUUGUUUUUGAGUUAGAGAAAUCCUGGAUUCUAGCCAGCCCCACUCCCCUGCCAGCUGUGCAGCUGGGGCUCCUAGUUCUCUGUCCUCUCCCCUCCUGACAUGUCCACCCUGUAGUCAGUCAUUCCUGGGCCAGGUGAGGACUAGAGAGGCAGCUGAAGCAGCAGCAUCUUGCUUCUCCUCUGCCUGACUAUUCCCAGGGUCACAGACUGUCCUAGAGAGCAUAAGGCAGCCUGGGGUAGCAGAGGGCAAUAUUUACUGCAGGCAGGUGAGGGCCCUGUCGCCCUGUUAGCCUCCACCAGCAGGGUAUGAGGCUUCAACUAUCCUUAAAUGACUUGGGUUAGACUUUCUUGGUGCUCUCUCUCCUUCCUCUACCCUGGGACAGAAUGGAGAGCCCAGAUUUCCAGAGACGAUUUGGCAGUACCAUCCAUGAUAGUCCCCAGCUGUUGACCUGGCCCAGGGACAUCACUCUUGUCUUUCAAGAUUGUCCUGCGUGAAACGAUUUCCCAAAUGCUGCAGUUUACAGAAGGAGCAAGGGGAACUGGUCUGCUUUCUUCCUGCUAGCUGCCUCAGCCUAGCCCCCACUGUGGGGCUUCAAACAGAAGGAAAUUAGCACAAGGCCCCCUGUCAUCACAGGCAGUAACUUGUGAACAUGUGCUGAGGUUGUUUCUUCUGGACAACAGAGCUUUAAAGCAGCUCACUGGGGCUUGUACAAUUUUUUUUUAAAGAAUUGUGUAUAUGUUAAAGUCAUUAAGGUUGGAAAGGGGAUGGAAUGGGGAGUAAAGGCCAUUAUAUGGGAGGGAAAGAAAAAUGACCUGUCUUCAAGCUGUCAGCAGAGGAAACGCCUCUGUGUCAACAAGAGAGGGGCCAGGCAGAGGCAGAGGUGCGGGCAUCUCUUGAGUGCAGGGAGGCCAGAGAUCUCCUCACAGAGAUGGUCACUCAGCUGACCUGGAACCUGCUCGGCAGUGGCCAUGGCUAACUGAAUGGACUGACUUUGUUCAUGUAUUAGUGAGCCACCGACAGAGAAGAGAGCUGGGCAGAGAGGAACAGCAGAAAGACGAUGCUUACAGCCCUUCUGAAUGUCAGGGCCCUGCAACCUCUGUAGUCACUUUUACAAUCAGUCUCAUACAUAAGAAUGUGUGAUGAUCAGCCCUAUCUCUCAGAGGUUGAACCUGAGUCACUGUGCUUAAAUAUCCUUCCCGAGACACACAGCUUGUAGGUGGUAGGAUAAGGAUGGAGGAGACACAGGUUCCUCCUAUCACCGUGCUGAGACUUUGGAGGAUCUGCUGCAGUUAUGAUAGGCUGUGGGUUGGAGUCUAGACCUCAUUUCACAAGAAGUGUGAAGAACCAGUUCAGGCACCAAGGCAAAUGUACAAGGGAAGGCUGUAAUGAGGGGGACGGGGAGUCACAGAUAAGAAAAGCAAGUAGCCUUUGCAUAGGUCAGCUUGUGCUAUGGUGUCUCCUGCUGUGUGCCCUGAAGGGUGACAGAACUCCAAACUCUCAGUUUUGUGAGCACAGAUUCCAGCUUGUAGGUCUGAAUCUUUAAACCCUUCCUCUUAGCAAGCAAAGGUGGAGGUACUGAGGGCCACCAGAGACAGCAGAGUAGCACCUGCCACUGAACUCCGAGGAGCACCAACUACCCUAUGUGCAGCUCCCUCAGCUAGGCCAAACAAAACACAAGGACUACACAGGGUCUUCUCCUAGGACUGAGGAAACAAGGACAGAAAGUAAACAAGAAAAGGUAGCAUUGUCUACCCAUCCUUCCUUGGGUAUGUAUUCUUGUGAUCUAUGUCUUUAUUCCUUGGGACACAUGUUCCCAAUCACAGCCCAAGUUGACAACCCUCCUUUGAAUAUAAGGGAGCUUGGGAGGAUGAAAGUCCAGGCCCCUACCCUUCCCCCACUCCAAGCUCCUCUGCCAAAACAUACUGUGAAACAACCCUUGACCUCUAUCCCAUAUUUUUUCUGCUCCAGCUCCUGUCAGCCCUGUUCACUUCCCACCUCCCUGAGGGAUGGACAGCUCAGUAAUUUAAGGAUCACCAGCAAGAGAGUUGUAAAGGUCAGAAGCCAGAAAGGGCUGAAAGGGGGAUUCCACCUCUCUCCUGCCUGUGCAUGAGGCACUCCUCUUAGAGUCCACCUCUUCUAUAUCUGCAGAUCAGGCUCCCAUGAGCCUAAGACCUUUGACAGCAACAUGGUCUGUGGAUGAAGGCUAGAAAUGUCAUGCAAAAUAACUUUCAGAGUAUAAAUGAACACUUUAAAAUUUGUUCUGUUUCAGAGUAUUAAUAGAAAGGAAAUGCUGCCUACAGUUUGCUCAUAGUUCUUCAACUUAGGGAGUCCCUGAUAGUUUAUUUAACCCCAAGUAACCAUCCCUAAGUACAAAUGCAUAUAAGUAACACUAAAUGGACUCAGUGGUGUGAUGUGGUGUGGUGUGUAUGUGAGUGUGUGAGUGUGUGUGUGUGUGUGUGUGUGUGUGUGUGUGUGUGUACAACAAUAAGAGGUCACUAAUUUGAGAGGAAGUAGGGAAGAUUCAGAGUUGCAGUAUGGAGAAAUGUGUGAAAAAGAUGUAAAUAUAGUAAUCAUAUAUAAAGUUCUCAAAACAUUAAAAAAUGAAAGGAAAUGCUAUGUUCCUGGGAGAUCUCCAAUUUAGGAAGUUCCUUCUAUUAUUUGAUUUCCUCUCUGCUAUAGAAAAUAAAGUUUGUUUAUAUUCCUAGCCUCUCCUUUCUCCCUACAUUAACUGUAUAGAUUAGUUUAGCUCAGCUCAAUCUCAGAGCUUAGAACCCGGGAAACAGUGAUAUAAACUAGCAGGGAGAGACAUAGUUAGCCCAUUUCUUCUUAAGCUCAGAACCACCAAAACCCUGCAGAAGUUGCAUGGCUCAUUUCCAGAUCCUAUAAAUGUGGUCUUCUCCGUGCCAGUAGAAAGCGCAGCAAAUGACACCAAUGAAACAUAGCUCUGGAAAGGCCUUGCUGUGCAAUGUCACUAUUGUGUAUGAAGGAAGACUAAGCCAUAGGUGCUAUUGUUUUACCAGUUAGUUGCUAAACCGGAGCUCUGUGUUCUCCGUUGCUGACAAAAGAAAGCAAAGGAGCUGAGCAGGAAGUUUUUGCAUGCAACACACUUGGCUUCCAGAUUGUCCCUAAGGUGGGCAGCUCAAUCAGUGGGGUCCAAUUGUCAGGCCUUGUCAAUGAGUGUCCAUUCAAAAGGGUGGUCAUGUCCCUGGCUUGGGGAACAAAUAGUGGCCAUGGGGGUGAAGUCAGAAUAAACAGCUUCUUGUUCAGCAGGCAUUUUUUCUCAUGUGGAGCCCAGUAAGCUGCCAACCUCCUGGCCUAAAAUAGUUGUUCUCUCUUCCCCAUUUGCCCAAAAUGCACCAGGAGGGUUAGACGCAGAGGGGAAGGCCUAUGGCAUUCAGUCUAGCAGAGCAAGGGACAGCUUUGCCAGGGAUCCUCCCUCACCAACCUAAGGAUGAGGUCAGAGGAACAAAGGUCACAGAUGGAUCUGCCUCAGCUUGGAAGGAGGCACAUGUGGUUUUAUGUAUAUGGGAGGAAGGCAGACUGGUGACUUGCAUGUUAGACAAGGGGAAGUCACCAAUGGCUUAUAAGGCAGACAAGGUUCAACUUGAACGAGAGGGCAGAAAGCCUUAUAGAGCCACUUUAUUCAAUGUCACCAACAUCCCAUUUCACCCUCACUCUGUCUUCCAUUCUUUAUUUCUUCUUUCUUCUUUGACCUUCCUCCACAGAGAAUGGGGGAGGGAGAAGGAACAAAGGGACCUGGAAUCAGGCCUCUUGGACUCUGCUGAUCAUCAGCAGCUAAGAGCCUAUGCUUACAUGAAGAGCAGAGAGGAGGAGCAAGGAGAUAUAGACAGCUGUAGCCCCACUGCACACUGUGGACUGGAGCAGGAGCCAGGUGUAGGAAUGGUGUGGGGCAUCCCGUGGGGAGCAGGGCCUUACUCUUGAACACUCUGCCCCUUAGAUUUGUUUGCCUGGGAAACAGAUCACAGGAAGAGCCUGUGUGAUACUUGGGACUGGGAAACUUGUUUCCUCAGAGGCAAAUAAGAAAAUGUUCUUUUUGCCUGGGCAGCUGAGGGGUAGAGGGCACUCUAUCAUGCUACAAUGGAGUCCUACUCUUCUAGGCUGUUUCUACUUUACACUCUGGGAUAGUACCACUUAGUGAACUAGCCACUAACCACACAGAGCACCUUACCUUUAUGACAGUUCCAUUCUAGAAAGUUCUUACUGGACAAUUAAGAGAAGAGGCAGUUUACAGAAUAGGAGAACACCUUUACCAGCUACACACCUGAGAAAGGACUGAUAUUUAUAAUAUACAACUAAACAGAAAGCAACCAAACAACACAAUCAGUAAAUGCACUAAAAAAUGAACACGCAGUUUGCCAAAGAACUAUGAAAAAAUGUUCAAGACCACUCACCAUCAGAGGAAUGCAAAUCAGACUACACUGAAGUCUCAUCUCAGCCUAUUCAGAAUUUCAAUCAUUAAGAAAACAAAAACCAAGACAUGCUGGCAAGAAUUGGCAAAGAAGACUCUUAAUGCACUGCUGGUCAGGAAGUAAAUUAGUCCAGCUACUAUGGAAAUUAGUAUGAAGGUUUCUCAAGAACUAAAAAUAAAUCUUCUACAUAAGCCAGCUUAUCCUACUCCUGAGUAUUUACUCAAAGGACCCUAAGUCAGCACAUCACAGAGACAACUGCACAGUACUAUAGUACUGACCAUUCAAAACAGGUAAGUUAUGGAACCAACAGUAAUUCAUAAGAAAAACGUGGCAUACAAUGUGGCAUAUGCACUAUGGAAUUUUUUUUAGCCAUAAAAAAAACUCAACAAAGUUAUGUCAUUUGUAGGAAAAUGGAUAAAACUGAAGAUAAUCACAGUGAAUGAAUUAAGCCAGUUUCAGAAAGACAAACAUCAGACGUUUGCUUCACUGGUGGUUCCUAGACUCUAUAUGGUCAUAUAAAAUCAUGUUUGUACAUAUGACUGAAAUUCUCUAUGGGACAAAGGAGACUAUAGAGGGGAAGGGGAAGGAAAGCAAGAUUUGAAGAAUGGGGAAAUAUGCUCAGCACACAAUAUAUAUACUUGUAUGAAAAUAUCUCAAAAAUAAUUUAGAAAGUUCUUACUAUAGUCCAGUUUCUAUUUUUUUAUUCCCCCUAGAUAUUCACAGCGUGCUCCCGAGGAAUGAAACACCAGUAACCCUAAGGAUGGGUGUGUGUGGGUUGAGCUGAGGAGGUGGGGAGAGAGUAUAAGAACCUUCUUUCUGCCAGCCUGCAAGCUUUCUUGAGCCCACGAGUCUCUUUCCGAUACUAAACUUUUCAACCCACCUGGGAGGAGCUGAGCUAUGCACAGCAGAGGAGAAAUCCAGCAAGCAGCUAUAGCCAAACAGGUUUUGCAAUAACAUUUUGCCUCAAAUCCACACCCUUGCUUAGAAAAAGUCAAAGAAAGUGUACCAAGCCAAGCGCUAGAUAAGGUGGGUGUGGUGUCAUUAACUGGCUUACUCAUUUUGCCCCUGGCCUCCACUAAGGCAGUGUAGGCAGAAACGUGCUGGGGGACCCAGGCUGUGAUGAGGCAGUGAUGCUUCACUUGGUUUUAAAACUGUUGACAUGAUGCUGAUGGAAUGAGAGAUGGCAAAGGUAGGUACAGGGCACACCCAGCUAAGCCGCCUACAGGCGGGGGCUGCUUACCUACCCCAGGAGGUCCCUUGGUGGAGAGAAAGCUAGCAGAGUGCUCACACACACGUGCACACACAUGCACCACGGUGUUCCCGGGUAAUCUCUGUAAAGACUCUUUCAUCCAAUUUCUCUGUAAGCUUCAGCUGUUCCUACAGGACCCAAGGAGCCAACAGAUGGUCCCAGCAAAACAGGCUCCGGACUCUAAAUCAGGGUCUGUGUUCCUCCAAGGCCAAAAGUGCAACUGAGCCCAUUUCCCAUGGGUGGGGGAGGAGCAAAAGUGAAUUUGCGGCCAUGCCUUUUCUUCUUUCAGACACCCCCACAUUUUCAAAAAUAGCAUGCAGGCACUUACACUCUGCCUUGAAGAUAAAGUUACCCAGGACCCCAAAUUUCAGACAAUUCCCUUGUAGA